AUUUGAUGUGACAGGAAAUCUGAAAAAUUUUGCAAAAUUUUUGGGAACUAAACAAGGCCAGCUGUCUCGCACAAACCUUUUCACGUCGCGUAGCAAAAAGUUUGUAUUGUUUAGUUGCAAAAUAUUUUGCAAAAUGUGAAUGUACCAAUUUCGUUUGUAUUUGACAAAUAUUGUCCAAUCAUGAACUAACUAGGCUCAAAAGAUUCAUCUCAUCAAUUCCGACCAAACUGUGUAAUUAGUUUUUAUUUUCAUCUAUAUUUAAUACUUCAUGCAUACGUCUAAAGAUUCGAUGUGACGGGGAAUCUGAAAAAUUUUGUAAAAUUUUUUGGAACUAAACAAGGCCAAAAGCACCAACGAAUUGAAUGAAGUUGAAUCCAAAACAAUAGAUGCGAAAACUUUUUAAAUUUCGUUACUGUAGCACUUUCGUUUAUUUAUGAUAAAUAUUGUCCAAUUACAAACUAACUAGAAUCAAAAGAUUCGUCUCGUGAUUUACAGGCAAACUGUGUAAUUAAUUUUUAUUUUCGUUUAUAUUUAAUGCUUCAUGUAUUUAUUGCAAGAUUCAAUAGAAAUUUUAAAAACUUUUUGAUUUUUGAAGUGAACUAAACAAGGCCCAAGUGAACACACACGAGUGUCGCUUUCUCCCUAGCGCAUCGCAGCGGCACAUGGCACGUAGCCUUGUUUAGUUCACGAUUUUUUUUUAAUUUAGCUAUUAUAGUACUUAUGUUUGUAUUUGAUAAUUAGGUCUUAUUUAGUUCACCCUGAAAUCUAAAAAGUUUCAAGAUUCUCUGUCACAUCGAAUCUUGCGGCACAUGCAUGAAGCAUUAAAUAUAGACGAAAACAAAAACUAAUCACACAGUUUGACUGUAAAUCGCGAGAUGAAACUUUUGACCCUAGUUAGUCUAUGAUUUGACAAUAUUUACCACAAAUAAACGAAAGUGCUACAGUAGCGAAAUCCAAAAAAUUUUCACAUCUAAACAAGGCCUUAUUAUUUAGGCAUAAAUUAACUAGACUUCGGCCUUGUUUAGUUUUAAAAAUUUUUAGAAAAACGACACCGUAGCAUUUUCGUUUUUAUUUGACAAACACUGUCCAAUUAUGAAGUAACUAGGCUUAAAAGACUUGUCUCGUGAUUUACAGACAAACUAUGUAAUUAGUUUUUAUUUUUAUCUAUAUUUAAUGCUCCAUGCAUGUGUCGUAAGAUUCAAUUUGACGGAAAUCUUGAAAAGUUUUGGGUUUUUGAUGAACUAAACAAGGCCUCCGUCUCACAAAUUACAUGUAACUAGUUUUUUUACUUAUAUUUAAUACUUCAUGUAUGUGUUUAACGAUUCAAUAUAAUAAGAAAUCUUGAAAAUUUUUAAAACUAAACAAGACCGUAGAGUUUGUGAAAUAAUAAAUGAAGUAAAAAAUUAUAGACUUCAAGCCUGGCUCGCCUGCCAGGAGGCACCGACGCGCCCCCGUGCGUCCGCCACCGGAGCAUCCAUCGUCAGCAUCAAUUCAAUUCGCACGGGAAAAAAAACCGUCCGCGUUUCUCCGCCACGCUUUGCUUCGCAGUACAGCGGGCAAGGAAACUUCUCGGAAAGACGAGCUCGUGGAAAAAGGAGGCAGCAACAGCUGCCAGCCGCAGCUGCGUAAAAUCCGAUGGCGACCGAGCUGAGUACACUACAGUAUAUCCUGCUCCACUCACGGGCUUUUUUUUUUUCCUUGGAUGAGAUGAAAAAAAAUAUUGCCUUCGUAUCAACUAUGUUUUUCUAUUUUAUAAUUUAUUUAACUUAUUAUAAUUUUUCAAAGAUUUAGCUAAAAUAAAUAAAAAAAGACAAAACUUUGUAGCAAAAAUUUUAUACUAAAGUAUAUCAUAUUAUAUAUUCACUGUGUAGAUCUACUCAUAUGCAGUCCAAUAAAAUUAGAUUUUCCAUUUUAUGUUUUUUUAUGAUUUACUAUGAUUUUUCAAAGAUUUUACAAAAAUAAAUUAAAAAGAAAGAGAUAAAACCACAGUACUGCAGCAAAAAUCAUCAUUCACGGUAGAAAAAACACCUUUGAAACUGCUCUAAGAAUUUAAAAUGCAGGGUUUAGAAAAUUGAGGGAGAUGAUUUUUCUAGUUUUGAAGUUGAGGGAGGAAAAAUAGAUUUUUUUUUUUCUGGCUAAAAUUACCAUUUUCGUUUGGGCUUUUCUCGCUUUGGGCCUGCGGCUCUGUAUUCUGGCUCAAUUGCUCUUGUAAACGGCGGCCGUGUAUAUAAGGCGGCGACUACUUGUGAACCAGGCAGGAAAUAACAGAACUCUAACCGAAUUUUCCCUGUCCUAUUUUUCUCCUUCCUCUCCGAUUUUCCUUCUCUGCUGUGUUUUUCCCCGUCCAAAUUCCUCUUUCAGUUCUCCGAUUCUCUUGGAUCAUCCGAUCCAGGAACGUAACAUGGACGUCCUCCGUUUCUAAAGAAAAAAAAAAUAAUUCAAAUUCUCACUAUGGAAUGGAGGGGUAUACAGCUUCGACUUGUUUGUUCAACUAUCGAGACAUAUAUACUAAUUUAUUGUAAGAGAAAAAUAUUAUUUUAUGACUGAAAAAUAGAGCUGAUUUUAGCUGAUAAACUCACUCAAACAAACAAACAAACAAAUAGAAUAGAAUGUAUAGUGGAACGCUUGGGGUGUGGUGGUUGGUUCAUGCAAAUUAAAGUUUGGUUUUGGAUAUCUCGAGUUCAAAUCCCUAUGCCUCAUUUUUUUUUCAAUCGCUUGUUUUUUUAUUAGGGCCGUCCAACGAAUAGAACCAUCCAUCAAUUACAAAUCCUAAAGCUCAUUUCAGAUCCAGGCCGUACAAAUCACCAUCCUGAGAGUUGCUGGCCGCUGCCACCCACGCACGCACACCACACAUGGGCAUGCCACCGCCGCAUACGCACGAGCAGGCCGUUGCCGCACACGCACUGGCACGCUGCCGCCCAUCGCCCUAUUCUGAGGGCCCGUUUAUAUCCAAAAUAUUUUGGACACGUAGCUUUGUUUAUAUUUGAUAAUUAUUAUCUAAUGAUAGACUAAUUAAAUUUAAAAAAUUUGUCUCCUAAAUUACAGAAUUAUAUAAUUAGUUAUUUUUUAUCUAUAAUUAAUGUUUCAUGUAUAUUUUUAAAGAUUCGAUAUGAUAAGGAAUCUUAUAAACUUUUGAAAUUUUGAAGACAUCUAAAUAUACCCUGAGAAGCUCAUUUUUGCUGCAAAACUGUGACAACAUCAAAGGCUCGGUAUCUGAGCAGCACACAAAAAGAAGGCAAGCAACGAGCCAGCGCUGCUACGACACGAUAUCCCGCUAGGCCUUUAGGCCUUGUUUAGAUGCAAAAAGUUUUGGGAUUUUGACACCGUAGCAUUUUCGUUUUUAUUUGACAAACAUUGUCUAAUUAUGGAGUAACUAGGCUUAAAAGAUUCGUCUCGUGAUUUACAGUUAAACUGUACAAUUAGUUAUUCUUUUUAUCUAUAUUUAAUACUUUAUAUAUGUGCCGCAAGAUUCGAUGUGACGGGGAAUCUUGUAAAGUUUUGAGUUUUUGGGUGUAUCUAAACAAGGCCUUAGUUGAAGAGCUAAAAAGUUUUUGGAUAUUGUAACAUUUUAGUUUUUAUUUGGUAAUUUUCGUUUUUAUAUUAGAAUUUUUAGAUAUUUUUAAAGGAAUGGGAUUAGUUAACAUUCAGAAUGGAGAAUCUCGUCUCCUUUGGGAGGAUCUUUGGCUUGGUAUAGUCUCAAGUCAAGCAUACCCUAAGCUCUUUUUCUUUGCGAAAAAUAAGAGAAUAACACUCAGCAAAGCCAAAUCAAUCAUACCACUGCACAAUCUUUUUCAUCUCCCCCUGUCAAUUGAAGCUUUUGUCGAGCUACAACAAUUGGAGCAAGAUCUACAAGGCAUCACUUUGACACCUGAACAUGACUGGUGGUCUUAUAUUUGGAACUCUCGUAUGUAUAAAUCUACAAAGGCUUAUAGAGUUCUAAUUGGUCACACAGAGAUACACUUGGCAUUCAAAUGGAUUUAGAGGUCAUCUUGUCAAUACAAACAUAAAGUAUUCUUUUGGUUACUUCUAAAGGAUUGACUUAACACAAGAGAACUUCUCCGAAGGAAGAACAUGGAUCUUCCCUCUUAUGAUUGUGUCUUGUGCACCCAACCUACGGAGGAAACCCUGGAACACCUAUUCUUCAAGUGUGACUUCGCGCAAGCUUGCUGGUUCAGUCUUAAUAUUAGCAUUUGACACUGUUGAUGCAAAAGCUGGUCUGCAAACACAAAAGGCUAAUACCCGAUUUAUACGUUAAGGCGUGCCAGCCGAUUUGACCUUAGUAUCGACAAAGGUGAUAACUCGAAUACUUUGGUCCCGACAACAGCGAUACGCCCGGAUGCCAUGGCCAAGAGGUACUCACGCGAAACUCGAGAACACGCCGAGCUUAAGUCGACGAAUUCCUAAGAACUCGUAAUGAAAAUAAAAAUAUGACGAAGUCGUCGGAAAAGUAGAUGCUGGAAUAUGAGUAAAAACUUGUGUUUGUUUUAUAUUUUACAAGGCCCUAGGGUCUACAUUUAUACCCUGCUCAAAAGAGCUACAACCAGACACGACUAAAACUCGAAUUCCAAAUCAAAUAGAAUCCGUGUACAAAACAAUUCAAACAACUAAGGAAAACAUAAAACUAUCUUGCCGUGACAAGCUAGGACACCACCACGGAUUGCUUUGGUAACCUUCAAGUCUUCCUUCCACAUUAUCAGCAGACUCCCCAUCGGCAGCGAUCAAUACUGGCCAUUGGUACGAACACAUCACCAUCCACGGACUUAGCCACACCCAGCCAUCUCUUCAUUGGCAACCACCCUUAUCGGCAACUAUCCCGCAGACCAGUCACAGUUGCCUUCUUUCUGCCGAUCCACACUCUACCGAUCUUGGGUACGUGUCCAAAAACGGUGUCAACACAUGCCCCCUAAUUUCGGAGUAUGGAAUCAUUAAUGCUCCGAAAUUCUCUGUAGUAAUGAUACCUUUCCGCAAUUAAUCCUUCCGAUUUGGUAACCGACAACUUUAUCCUGAACAACCUUGGUUCGACUCCCCCGAAGAUUCCUCGAAAUCCUUAACUUUCCAAAUGGACAUCUCCGUCUUAAUCGCCCAUCGGCAAUAUUACCGUUACAGGGACUUGCCGAUGAACUGACCAGGACGUUCACAUAUUUAUCUUCUCAAACGGCUAUCCCCACUUUCUUCGCUCAUCGGCAAUAUUACCGUUGCGAGACGCUGCCGAUGGUCCGACCAGGAGAUCUUGCACAGUAAAAUAUCUCUGGAUAACGACCGCUUCCUGUCAAAUCAUCUGCACAAUCCCUUGAUUAUCGUGCGAACAGUUACCAUAUCUACCUGAGUACCCUCGGACUUCACAGAUACGGCGAAGAGAUAAGUCAGAUUUGCCCUUGCCCAUUUUGUCCUAUAAAUAGUUCCUUCUCGGGUACUCCUCCUCCAUCACAUCAUUCCACAUCUUCAGCUUCACUUUCCCGGCGGCAGCACUGUUCGAGAGCUCCAAGAUCUCCAACGAAGCCCCUUCUUCACCAACUCCGAAGCCUUCGAUCACCCCCUUCUUCGCGAGGAAAUGGCCAUUAACUUCACCGUCCCUGAGGUCAGUUCAUCAUCCUGUCUCUUGUACCUUUACCAUAUCCAUGUCGGUUCGCAAUUUAUUUACUGAACAUCUCUUUUUUUUCUUCUUUUAUUUUUUCCUUUUACUACCCAUUAGGAUCUGUCCAACAAAAUAAUCAUCCCUACCGAUCAACCACAUCUUCAGUGUCUUGGUCUACUAGGGAACCCAGAUCCCACAGAUCUGAUAAACGCAGAAACAAACCGGAUCCCUUUUAGAGCCGAGAAUUUUCUUUAGAUCUGUGGAAGGAUAGCUUUCGCUCCUGGACCAGUCCUACCGUAGGAUGGAAGAAUUGGUUUUUGAGAGUCAGCCACUCAAACGAAGUCCAAUGGGGUGAGAGAAAACUGGAUCGAUGAAUCAGAUUGUCCAUUGCCGAUAUGCAUUGCCGAUAUGCACAUGAACGAAUCACUGUUGAUAGCCGCAUCAUACUUCUGGUCAGAUACCUUGAAUGCUUUCAUCUUUGGCCACGACCCUGCUUCCCCUACUCUUGUCGAUGUAGUUAUGCUCACCGGCCUAGAUGUAUCCUCUACCGACAGCACCCACUUUUUCGACACCGCACCUAGUGCCAAAGUGGAAACUCGCUCCAUCGGCGGCUGGUCGGGGUACAUUCAAAAAUACCGUAGGACGAGACCCGUCAACAUAAAGGAACAAACCACCUUUCUUAACAUGUGGCUGGACAAGUUCGUAUUCUGUGGCCGAUCGGCAGGACCAACUUCUGUCUAUCUAUCGGCAGCAGAGAAACUGGCUAACGGUGGCCGAUUUCCCCUCGGCCGAUAUUUGCUUGGUGCUACCUAUCAUCUCCUCCACCAGGUGGCUAAGAAACUCCUGCUCGGCCAUUCCAUCGGCAACCUGGGAGGUCCCUGGUGAUUCAUCAAUAUGUGGCUCAGCCUCCACAUGCACCGGCGCCUUGAGUUUGACCUCUUCGCACAGCGUUUCCCCAGAGAUAUAGCUGAGAAUCAUGAACUGGGUGAAGAAGAAUCGGCAACACGCCCCCCUCUAAACUUCGGCGAGGCUGUCAUAGCUUUGCCUGGUACAGGAGGUAAUCCAGAUCAGGUCAGCCGAUUCUUCCAAACUUUGUACGAAGGUUUGACCAGAGAGCAGCGAGCAUGGUUGCCUUAUGAUGAUCCAAACACCAUGUUUCCUCUGGUUUUCAACCCGUUCAAUGACGCUCUCAACAAGGAUCAUGAAGUGAUGAUGGCACUGAUCACCCCCAGAGCUAUACCAGUGAAUUUCUUUGGCAGUGGGAAAACCUCCAUUCAGACCUAUGAGUUUUACAAUCCAUCGGCACUAGCUCGUCAAUUAGAUUUCGGCCAACUGCCGAUUGGACUCUGUUAUGCCGAUGUGAUAAAACCCAGGGAAACCAUCACUAGCCUCCUUGAAUGGAUUCGAGUAGCCCAACUGCCAUCAAGUGCCGAUACAGAUGCAAACUUGUCAGAGUGGGUUCCAGCCGCCUUCAUCACUCAGGCGUACAAGCAAUGGUGGACAGAAUGGAAGGAGCAUCUGUUCUGCAGAUCGGCUCUUACGUAUCGCGGUAUGAUCGAUCCCGAGUACGAAAUCCCCGCUAAUAUUGUAAGUGUCUUCAAACGAUGUUUCAAUUUUCUCAAUUUUAAUUCCAUCGGUGAUUCACCUUUGUAUCAUCUUGCAGGUUGACAACACCCCUCUAUCGGUUAGUAGGAGUGGCAAGCCGAUUAACUUAUUUCCACCAGGUCCAAUCUCUUCAAUCGGCAAUAACGCUUCUACUCUGGCCGCCAUCAUGCACCGAGGUGUACGCCUCAAGAAAGUCACCACCAAGAGAACUCAAAUAUCCCCAUCGGUAGCUGCCUCUACCUUGGCACAGGCGUUCAAGGUACAUUUUCAAAUUUUUCAUACCGAUCUCACUCUUAUAUCUGUUGCACUUGUACUUACGAAUCUCCAUUUCUGUAUCAGCACACCAGCGCAUCGGUAAGGACCAGAAGUAAGAGUACCGAUGCCCCUCAGUCCAGUCAGCUGAAAAGAAAAGGUACCAAGAGUACCAGAGCACAAACGAAGCGCCAGAGAAUAGCAACGCCUCCUCCUCCCCCGGUAUCUCCAAUUCAGGUAGAAUCUUCUCCUUCUCCUCCAGAAACACAGACGCAACAAGUACCAUCUCCCCCUCCAAUGCAAGAAGCACCACAAGUGGAAGAACCCCAACCAGAAAGGCCUCAACCAGAAGUACCUCAACCAGAAGACACAUCAGCUGAUGUGCAUGAACGAACCACCGAUCCAGCAGGUUCCAUUAUAGCAUCGGUGGUCUCUUCCAUCCAGACAAGUACUGCUCUUCCUCAAGGUAACACACUUUUAUAAUAUUACUGCCGAUGAACUUAUUUUCCCAACCUUAUAACCCCUUCCGUUAAUUUUUAGCUGAUAUAGUUCCAUCGGCAACUCUAGCCGAUCAACCUGUGGCUCCAUCGGCAUCUUCGAGUCAGAGGCGGGAUAUUACCCUGAAACAAGUAAGUUAUCCAACCCCUGUUUACAUCAUUUAUCAAUACCUGGCCACAGAAUAACUUGUUUUAUUUCUCUUUUUUUUUCUUUUUUCUCUCUCUUUUUUUAGGAGCAGGACUCUCCUGACAGCUUGUUCUCUUUCGCCAUCGACAUCUCCGAGGAUGAAGGUGAAGAGGCAAGCUCUUCUUGGGCACUUGUGAUCACAUCGACAGAAGUCAGGGCAAAGCUGGAAGAAUUAUCGGCUCUCCUCCACCAAGACACAGCCCAGCUAGUUGAUGAUUCCGACCCGGCCAAGACCUUAUUCAAGACUCUGAGAGGCCACAUCCCCACCGAUGCCGAAGAAAUCCUCUUUCAAGCAGCACACCUGGAGAGCCGUCAACUGCAGUACCAGAGGGCCGCCCAGCGCCUUGCCGACAGAACCGCUCAGACUCGUCUUUCCGAGGAGAUGAUGAAAGAAAAGCUCCUGACCGAUGAGAAGCACAAGAACAUCGGCAUCUUGAAGUCCUCAGGAGACGCGCUGAAGCAGAAAAUCUCUGAUCUAUCGGCAAAAAGAGAAGCCCUAUUGGCAGAACUCAAGCAAGUGGAGGAUGCCCUAUCCCAAGCCCAACAAGAAGAGAGUCAACUGCCAGAGAUCAUCAAGCUCCUUGAGCAAGAGCGAAACGCCCAUGGUCGCAAAGCACUGCAGUUCAAGAAGAAGCUGAAGCCGAUAGAAGGUUCUGCCGAUGAAGAUGUCAAAGAGAUAGAAGCAGCCAACCAAAUCCGCCUGCGUACCAUAUCGGCCAUCCAAGCGCUGCUAAACACGUGAGUCUUUCAUCGGCAAGAUACUCGCUCCACUCUACUUUCCAGCUCCCUUGAUAUUUAGUCUAGCCGAUAGAACUGUUAUCGGCAUCUUUUAAAACAUUAAGUCCGGCCCCAGACACAUUUCAAUCCAGGCGAUAGGAGUGUUAUCGGCAUUUAAACUUUUAUGCAUCGACCCAUAUACUUGGGCAUUACUUCUUCAAAUAUUUGCCAUUUAAUGCUCUGAGAAAUUCAACUCCUUCGAGGGUUUCUAGAAUAUAGGCAUUACCAGGAGCCGACCGACUUAUCCGAUAGGGACCCUCCCAAUUGGGAGACCACUUCCCAAAUUUUGAACUUUUAGUCCCGAUCGGCAAAUCCAACUUCCAUACCAAGUCUCCAUUGGCAAAUUCCUUAGCCUUUACUUUCUUAUCGUACCAUCUAGCAACUCUCUUCUUAUUUUCUUCUAUACUCAUUAAAGCCUUUAACCGAUGUCCUGCUAGAUCAUCUAACUCAUCGGUCAUCAAAGUAGCAUAAUCAUCGGCAGCCAAUUGAUCUUGAAAAGAUAGUCACCUAGAUCCAGCCUUAAUUUCCCAAGGCAACACUGCAUCAUGUCCAUACACCAACUGAUAAGGCGAAACCUUGGUUGAUCCAUGACAAGCCAUUUGAUAGGACCAUAAAGCUUCAUUUAACAUUGUGUGCCACCGCUUAGGAUUCUCUUCAAUUUUUCAUUUGAUAAGCUUGAUAAUUCCCUUGUUAGAUGCCUCGGCCUGCCCAUUAGCUUGAGCAUAAUAAGGAGAAGAGUUUAACACCUUAAUUCCCAUACCGAUUGCAAAUUCAUCAAACUCCCCCGAUGUGAACAUAGUACCCUGAUCGGUAGUAAUUGUUUGAGGAAUCCCAAAUCGGUAAAUAAUGUGCUCCUUCACAAAAUCAAUCAUAUUGGCCGAGGUAACUUUCUUCAAAGGAAUAGCCUCAACCCACUUGGUGAAAUAAUCGGUAGCAACCAAGAUAAACUUAUGCCCUUUGCUAGAUGGCGGAUAAAUCUGACCGAUUAAGUCAAUAGCCCAUCCCCGGAACGGCCAAGGUUUAAUAAUAGGAUUCAUGGCCGAUGCGGGUGCUCUUUGAAUGUUGCCAAAUUUCUGACAUUCUUGACAUCCCUUGAAAUAUUUAAAGCAAUCCUCAAGUAUGGUUGGCCAAUAAUACCCGUUUCUCCUAAUCAUCCACUUCAUCUUAAAAGCCGACUGAUGUGCUCCACAUACCCCUUCAUGGAUUUCUCCCAUCAAACUUUUAGCUUCAUCAUCACCUAAGCAUCGGAGAAGAAUCCCAUCAAUAGUUCGAUAAUACAAUUCAUCUUUGAGGAGCACAUACUUUGUGGCCUGAAACCGAACUCGUCUUUCGACUUUCUUAGAUGGAUCUUUCAAAUAAUCAACGAUUUCUUUUCUCCAAUCAUCGGCACCAAUUGCCGAUAUUGCAUUAACCAUAGGCUGAUAUCCCAAAGCAUGCUGAGCCAACCGAUUGGCUUCUUCAUUAUGCAAUCGAGGAACAUACUCUAAUUGGAAAUCCUUGAAUUCCUUCAACAAUUGCAUACUCCGCUCGUAAUAAGUUAUGAGAACUUCACUUCGGCAUUCAUAGCUUCCAGCCAAUUGAUUUAUAACCAGCAUAGAAUCUCUGAAGAUCUCAACAGCAUCAGCAUGAACUUCUCUUAACAAUUCCAAUCCUUUUAUCAAAGCUUGAUACUCAGCCUGAUUAUUCGUCGACGUGGCAACAAUCGGCAAGGAAAAGUCAUACUUCCUUCCCCGAGGGGAAAUUAAUACUAUAUCGAUUCCUGCCCCCCGGUCACACAUAGAUCCAUCAAAGAAAAGCGUCCAAGGUACAAUUUCCAAAGCCUCCACUGUACCACAAUGUUGAGUCACAAAAUCAGCCAUAACCUGCCCUUUAACUGCCUUAGCCGAUUCAUAACGCAGAUCGAACUCCGACAGCGCCAAAAUCUAUUUACCGAUCCUGCCACUCAUAAUCGACAUGGAUAGCAUGUACCGGACUACAUCAUCCUUGCAAAUAACAGUGCAUUCGGCCGAUAACAAGUAGUGCCUUAACUUGAUACAAGAGAAAUAUAAGCACAGACACAGUUUCUCAAUAGCCGAAUACCUGGUCUCAGCAUCAAUCAACCUCCUGCUUAAGUAAUAAAUCACACGCUCCUUCCCUUCAAAUUCUUGAAUUAAAGCCGAACCGAUGACCAUCCCAUCGGUAGACAAAUACAAUCUGAAGGGCUUCCCUUGCUGAGGCGGAAUUAGAACUGGAGGAUUCACUAAAUAGUCCUUGAUUUCGUCUAGAGCCAACUGUUGCUCCUUCCCCCAGACAAACCCUUGAUCGGCCCUUAACUUCAAAAGAGGACUGAAAGCACGAAUUUUACCAGACAAAUUAAAUAUAAACCUUCUGAUAAAAUUUACCUUGCCGAUCAAGGACUGAAGUUCGGUCUUGUUGGUAGGGGCCACUAUCUUAUUGAUGGCAUCAAUAGAUCUCUGACUAAUUUCAAUCCCCCUUUGGUGCACCAUAAAACCAAGAAAUUGUCCUGCCGAUACACCAAAUGCACACUUAUGGGGAUUCAUUUUCAAACCAUGCUUCCUUGUGCACUCCAACACCUUUCGUAAAUCAGCAAUAUGCUUUGUGAAGUCUCCAGAUUUUACCACCACAUCAUCAAUAUAAAUCUCCACCAACUUGCCGAUGAACUCAUGAAAUAUAAAAUUCAUUGCCCUUUGAUAAGUAGCACCAGCAUUCUUUAAGCCGAAGGUCAUGACUAUCCACUCAAAUAAUCCAACAUGACCAGGGCACCUGAACGCGGUCUUCGGAAUAUCCUCUUCGGCCAUGAAUAUUUGGUUGUAUCCGGCAUUGCCAUCUAUAAAGCUAAUAAUCCGAUGCCCAGCCGCAGCGUCAACCAGCAGAUCGGCAACUCGCAUUGGGUAUCCAUCCAUCGGUGUAGCUUUGUUAAGAUUCCUGAAAUUAAUGCAGACCCAAAGCUUCCCGUUCUUCUUGUAGACCGGAACAACAUUGGAAAUCCACUCGGCAUACCGACACUGCCGAAUAAACUUGGCUUCAAUAAGUUUGGUUAUCUCGGCCUUAAUAUCAGGGAGAAUAUUAGGAUUACAUCGGCGAGCCGGUUGCUGAUGUGGCCGAAAUCCAGACUUGAUGGGUAACCGAUGUUCAACAAUUGAUCGGUCCAAACGAGGCAUCUCAGUAUAAUCCCAAGCAAAGCAAUCUUUAUAUUCCUUUAACAAAUCAGUUAACUGUUGCUUACACUCAGAAUCUAACUUAGCACUAAUAAAAGUGGGUCUAGGCUUAUCACCACUACCUAUAUCUACUUCUACUAGAUCAUCGGCCGAUGUGAAUCCCUGGCCUAACUUUCCAUCAUCGGCGAACCUAUCCAUUAAAAACCUUCAUCAGAACCGACUGCUUGGAUCGGUGGAAUCUCGUAAUCGGCAACCUUGAGAAAAUCCUUUUCCCAAAUUUCUCCUGAAAUACACCUAGUCCUUUCAUAGGUGUCUGCCUCUGCCGAUGCGAUGACAUAAGAAGAAUCUCCUGGGACAAUUUCAAUCUUGUCCCCUACCCACUGGACCAAGCAUUGGUGCAUUGUAGACGGGAUGCAACAAUUAGCAUGAAUCCAGUCUCUUCCCAACAGUAAAUUGUAAGCACCCUUUCCACUGAUCACGAAGAAGGUCGUCGGCAAGGUUUUACUGCCGAUGGUCAACUCUACGCAUAUUGCCCCCUUGACCAGAGACACAUUCCCUUCAAAGUCUUUAAGCAUCAUAUCGGUCUUGGUCAAAUCCUGAUCCCCUUUUCCAAGCUUUCGAUACACUGCAUAUGGCAUGAUAUUAAUAGCGGCUCAACCAGAAUCUUGAUCAUCGGCUGACCAUCCACUUUUCCUUUAACAAAUAGGGCCUUGAGGUGCUGCCUUUCAACAUCGGCAGGCUUCUCGAAGAUAGCCGUCAUCGGAUCCAGAGCCAACUGAGCUAUCUGGUUGGAAAAUUCCAACUCAUCAUCACUGGAUGGCGCAAGGAACUCCAUCGGCAACAUAAAGACCAUGUUGACAUCUGCCGAUGGACCUUUCCCCUUAGGAUCUGGUUGUUGCUGAUCCCCAGACUGUUCAGAGUUCUCUCCUUUGCUUAACUCUUCUCGCCUUUCACGCUGCAGCCUUCUUUUCUGCGUCCUGGUCAAUCCCUCUGGACACCAUGGAGGAAGUUGCUGCUGCCUACCCGCCGGGCGACGAUUUUCCCUUGAUUCCAUCCGAUACGUGUUGGCAUCCCUGCAAAAUAUGAACUCGUCGGAAACCCGUGCAUUAGCCAUCUCUUCGAGUUCUUCCUGGUUCUUGGGAAAAUAUUGAAUACGAUCGCCAAGCCUGUUGUGCACGCUGAGCCUGCCCCCCAGCCGAUCGUGAACGGACGCUCUUCCUCUAAUCGGCCCAUUAGAUCGCCGAUUGUCGUCGUGAUAGCGCCGAUCGGAUCUAUCAUACCGAUCAUAUCCGUUGCACUCAGGGCAAUCCCUGACAGUGGGAAGCUUGAUAUUUUCCUCCCAACAGUGAAUGAAGAACGGGCAAUUCCAGUGAUCCCUAUGCCGAUUCCAUUCCUGUCGGCGUCUUUCCUCUUCCCGACGAUAAUUCUCUUGCUGGCACCGGUACCGAUCUUCACGUUGCUGCCAAGUCUCCCGAAGCCUCCUGUGCGUUAUCACAAUACCAGAACGGGGAGACCUUCCUGAGUUAGCUCCCUCCUGGACCAAGCCUUUUCCUUUGGCAUCGGCAGUAGUGAUCUGAUGCUGAGGAUCCACCGAUGCACUUCUUUCAGCUGCUCCUGACGUCAAGACCUUGGCCUUUCCCUUAGCAUCCAACAUGUUCAUUGGGAAAGGAUGUUGAUCAAUCUUCAUCGGCUUCUAGGUCUUGUAACUGUCAAAUUUAAUCCUUCCAGAUUCUAUAGCCGAUUGCAGCUGCUGUCUAAAAACCUUGCACUCAUUAGUGUCGUGAGAAGUUGCAUUGUGCCACUUGCAAUAUUUCAUCCUUUUCAAUUCUUCAACCGAUGGGAUCACAUGAUUAGGUGACAGUUUGAUCUGACCCUCCUGAAGUAAAAAGUCAAAUAUCCUAUCGGCCUUAGUAGUGUCAAACGCGAACUUCUCUGGCUCUUUAUGUCCAAAAGGGCAAGACAUCGGAUUCUUAUUUUUCACCCAUUCUGCCAAGCCGAUAACUGGCUCUUCAUCAGAGUCCGAGCUUGUUGCUUCAUCAACGAACGACACCUUUUUAUUCCAUGCUCUCUUGGGUUCGAAAGGCUUGAUAUCUUGAUCAGAAAUUCUCUGCACCAAAUGGCAUAAACUUUCAAACUCCUGAGACGCAUACUUGUCCCUGAUAUGUGGCAACAAACCCUGGAAAGCCAAAUCGGCUAGCUGCCGAUCAUCCAGAACCAGGCUAUAGCAUUUAUUCUUGACCUCUCGUAUCCUCUGUACAAAACCUUCAACCGAUUCAUCAUUGCGUUGCCUCAUUUUGACCAGAUCAGUGAUCUUCUCAUGGACCCCAGAAAAGAAGUACUUGUGGAAUUGUUUCUCCAGAUCGGCCCAGGUAAUCACUGAGUUGGGAGGUAAUGAUAUAAACCAGGUGAAAGCCGAUCCAGACAAUGACGACGAGAAUAAGCGAACCCUUAACUCGUCCCUGUUACCAGCCUCCCCGCACUGGAUGAUGAACCUGUUGACGUGCUCCAUGGUUGACGUGUCAUCCUGCCCAGAAAACUUGGUAAAAUCCGGCACUUUGUACCGAUUUGGAAGCGGGAUUAAAUCAUAUGCGGGAGGAUACGGUGUCCGAUAAGAGUAAGUGUUGACUUUAAGUUUUACCCCAAAUUGAUCUCUCAUCACUUCAGCAAUCUUAUCGGCCCAAUAGGCAUUGGCAUCUUGCCGAUGAGGCGGUUGCGGAUCCGACACCUGCUGGUAAGCCUCCACGUGUCUGUGCGGCGUACGAUCUGCAUGGAACAUUGGGUUGAUCAUUUGUCCACCCGCUUGCUGACCACCAAACUGCUGUGCGCCGAUCUGCUGUCCGCCGAUUUGCUGCCCAAGAUUCAUCUGCUGGUUGGGUAGUCCCUGAUUAUGGAACCCUGGGUAGAUCUGGCCUUGCUGGAACCCUGUAGCCUGAUGAUUCGGUUGGGGCGUUUGCGGGAAGACUUGCUGCCUGAGCCAUCCACUAUUAGCAUUCAUCGGCAUAGGUCCUGCCGAUGACUGGUAAUUGGGCAUCAUCAUUGAAUUGACAUACCCUGGCUGAGUCAUAAACCUCUGUUGCAUCAGCAUUGAGUCUGCCGAUGCGUUAGGCAUCUAGAACGUCGGAGCUUGAGAAUUCCCAGUGUGAGGUCUUGCAGUAGUAGUUGUAGUAUACUGGGGACUCUGGUUCAUCAGCAUAUUUAGAGGCGCUGAUGCCAUAGGAGUUUUGCCUCUCAUAUCAGUUGCCUGAGAUGUGCCAGGUGUCUUCAUGUAUUCUGGGGGCAUACCGAAACCCCACCAGUUAGGAGGAGGGACCGGUCCUGACAUUGCCGAUGCCAAUAAAUCUGUGGUGAGCCUAAUCUGCUCAUCCGAAGUCGGUGGAUUAGUUGUCAUCGGCAUGGAUUGCGUAUUAGUAACUCCCAGCGUACUUGGAGGAACAGUAGUCUGUGUACCCGCAGCGGCUGUAGCAGCCGAUGGAGCUGUAACCACCGGUGCCCCUGGCUGAUGAUGAGAGGGGCCCACAUAAUCUGGUGGUAAUUGUCCUUCCUUGAAAGUUCUAGCCACGGCGUUGAAAACCGUAUUGGACAGUACACCAGCUUGGUUGAUCAGAGCUCGGUUGAUAGCACUAUCAACCAUCUCUUGAAGUUUACCAGGAUUAGCUUCAAAAGUAACCUGCCGUGGUGCCGGCAGUGCAUCUUUCUGGAUUACUUCGCCGCUCCUGUUCAUGCUAAAGGACCUCAGGCAUUGCUGCUUGUAAUCCUCCAUAGCUUUAGCAAUAGCUUGCUUCUGCUCAUCCUUGAGAUUGGCUUCCGUCACGGGGAUGACGUUCUCCUGAUCAAACUCAGAAGUCGACAUGUUGAUUUUGAUCUUGAAUCUGUCCCACUAAUGAAAAUCGUCAUACUAAUGAGUUGGAGCAUUUGGGUCUCAAGGAAUGACCAUAUAUAUUCCAAAGAAUUCAGCCAUCUAUAUCAAAUUAUAGGGCAUUUUUCAAAAAAGAGUUUUCUCUGAUUAUCCAUAGAGCGAAGAAAAAAUAUUUCCCUCUUAUAGAAGAAUUGCUAGAGCACCAAUUGUGUUCUUCUUAAUUUUUCCUAUCCUUUUUCGUUUAUUGAAUUCUAUUGUUUGGACACAUAUUUUUCUGCUAUUAAUUAAUAUAUAUUAACAAGUAGGGGCUACCCCUCCGGUUUCAUAAAAAAAUAUUGUCCAACCAUGAACUAAUUUGGCUUAAAAGAUUCAUCACAUAAAUUAUAGACAAGUCGUACAAUUAGUUAUUUUUAUCUAUAUUUAAUGUUCCAUGUAUGUGUUAUAAAAUUUGACAUAAUGGAGAAUCUUAAUUUUUUUAAAGUUUUUGGAUGAAGUAAACAAGGUCUAGGUUCCCAUUUUGCGAAUAAGCAAAGUUCCCGAAACAAAAACUCAGAGUACGUUUCCAUCCUCCAGCUGGUGCAACUUAGGGUCCCUUUGGUUGGACUUUUCAACCUGCUUUUGCUUUCGCAAAAGCCAAAAGUCAACCAAAGGGUCCAAAAGCCACAUAUACUUUUACCCAAAAGCAACUUUUACUACAGUAUAAUUUCAAAAGCACCUCCCCCUUGCUUUCAUCGGCUUUUGAAUGACCAAGUUGGAGAAAAUUACCCACUGCCACAGGUUAUGAAAAGGAAAAAAUGUUUCGGUGGCUUCUAUUCCCCUCUUCUGCUUCCGCCCGACGCCUCCGUACCCACCCGACCACUCGCAUGGCCGCGACUAGUGGCUAGGGUUCCUCCGCCGCCACCGUUGCCUGAGGCUCGACGAAGGCCGCCUCCCCACCCGCGACCGAAGCUGCUCGACGAAGGCCGCCUCCCCACCUGAGAUCCUCUGUCCGCGAUCGAAGCUGCUCCGACUCGCAGGCCGCAUCUCCGCUUGAGAUCCCGGCCGUGACUGAAGCUGCUCCGACGCGCAGGCCACGUCUCUGCCCGACGACAACCGCCUCCCUGUUGGGACAAGCGUCCCGAACAGGGUUGAGAGGUGGAGGCUCCUCGAGGAUUGCUAGCUGAAGAAGGUCCCUCGGUGAAGGUUCAGGACGAAGGCUUGGCUAGAGAAGGUUCUCGAUGAAGGUCCGGGACAAAGGUCUGGCUGGAGAAGGUUCUCGACGAAGGUCCAGGAUGAAGGCCUGGCUAGAGAUGGUUCUCGACGAAGGUCUAGGACGAAGGCGUGGCUGGAGAAGGUUCUCGACGAAGGUCCAGGAUGAAGGCCUGGCUGGAGAAGGUUCUCGACGAAUGUUUGGGAUGAAGGCCUGGCCGGAGAAGGUUCUCCACGAAGGUCCAGGAUGAAGGCCUGGCUGGAGAAGGUUCUCGACGAAGGUCUAGGACGAAGGCCUGGCCGGAGAAGGUUCUCGACGAAGGUAUAGGACAAAGGCCUGGCGGAGAAGGUUCUCGACGAAGGUCUAGGACGAAGGCCUGGCCAGAGAAGGUUCUCGACGAAUGUCUAGGACGAAGGCCUGGCCAGAGAAGGUUCUCGACGAAGGUCCAGGAUAUAGGCACUGCUGGAGAGUGUUCUCAACGAAGGUCUAGGACGAAGGCCUUGCCAGAGAAGGUUCUCGACGAAGGUCUAGGACGAAGGCCUGGCCAGAGAAGGUUCUCGACGAAGGUCCAGGACGAAGGCGUGGAACAAGAGCCUCAGAUGAAGGUUUGUUGAUUGUUCUCUAUAAGGGCUUCGUGGAGAAGGCUCCAUGACAGAGGCUGCGCAAAGAAGGCUACAUAACAAUGGUCUAGCACGGAGAUUCUACGGAGAAGGUCUGUCGUCGAAGGCUCCAACAGGUGAGGGGGGAGAGUGAGGCGGCAGCUAGGGUUUUGCGAGAAAAUAGUGGGAGAGUGAAGAGAGCCCCCCUUGCCCUCAUGAUCAUGGCAUUAUAUAGGCAAGUGGAAAUUUACAAGCGACCCCCUGUGGGGGUGGAUUUUACAUGCCACUCCAAUGGCUUGAGUUGGGCCUCUUCUAGGGACUUGGCCUAUGCGAACAUGACAUGUCCCAACUGAAAGGUCCAAAUGGCUAGAGGGGGAGGGGUGAAUAGCCUAUUUAAAUUUUCUACAAACUUCAACUAGACAAGUUGAUUAGUAAAACAAAAAUCGAAGCUAUUCUAACACCCAAGAGUAACAAGAAAUCCGCAGCAAACUCAAGGAACAAGUGCCACUAAAUGCAACUCUCAAAGCAAUGCACUUGAAUCUCACUCAAUCUCACUAGGAUGAGCAAUCAAGCAAGGAGAUGAGUGGAGGGAGUGUUCUCUAGCUCAAUGUAUGCCUCAAGUAAUCAAAUGUGCAAGAGUUGACCUCCCAAAGCCGGCCACCUUCUAUUUAUAAGCCCCUCAAAGAAACUAGCCGUUGGCUGUUUUUCACUGGGCUAAAAACGGGGGCACCGGACGCUACUAAGUGAGCACCGGACGCUCGACUCCCUGCGUCUGGUGCACUGGAGUUGGCCACGUGUCCCUCCUAAAUCUCGUGUGUCAGAUCCUAACGGUCACCUGCGGAUCACCGGACGCUCUGCAGGUCCACACAGACGCGUCCGGUGCACACCGGACUCAUGCGCAGAGAGUUUGUCAAACUCGCGACCUCACCGGACGCUAGGCACCGGACGGUCCGGUGCUCACCGGACUCGUGCGCAGAGAGGGUUGCAAAAACCCCUCACACCGGACGCUAACCACCGGACGCUACCAGAGUGCGUUCGGUGCUCAACCCUAACAGAGUCAAGCUCUAACAGCACACCGGACGCUCGGGCCAGCGUCCGGUGCCUCCGCACUGAGCGUCCGGUGAGUGUUUCCAACUGAGAAACACUCCCGCGACUUCUCCAAAAUUUUCCACCGGCGCAAUAGAAAAUAUACACUUAUUUUUCUCAAAAAGCGUCUGGUGACCUGUUCACCUUUUGGACCUCCCUAGGUAUAGGACCGGACGCUACCCUGUGAGUCCGGUGCUAGCGUCCGGUGCCUAACCCUAGGCACCCAGUCACUCUAACCGCAGACGACCUCACCGGACGCACUCACAUAGCGUCCGGUGGGUGUUUCUCAGUGAGAAACACUCCCACGACUUCACCCAAUUUUUCACCGACGCAAUAGAAAGUAUACACUUAUUUUUCUCAAAAGCGCCGAAUCCCGCCGACCCAAACCCCUCUCAACCCUAGGAACUUCACCUCCUUUGCAAAUGUGCUAACACCAACAAGCGUCCACCACCAAGGUGCAUAUGUGUUAGCUUUUCACAAACAUUUUCACCAAAGGAGUUAAGUUAGCACUUUACUAGAUCCUAAUGCAUAUGCUCAAGACAUGGACCUAGUAGCACUUGAUUCGAGAGAUGACCGUGAUUUCCCCUCUUGAUAGUCGGCUAUCUAUCCUAAACCCGGUCAAACACUUCUCUACUCAUCUUAGACCGGCAAAAGUAAAACCCUAUGUUUAUACAUUUGCCUUGAUAACUUUGCUCCUCGUCUAUCAUCAUGAUCUCCACAUCAUGCUUCAUUUCUUUGUAAUCAUGUGGCCACCUUUCCAUGCCACCAUGCACCUUCAUCACAUGUGUUGCUAUGCCUAACUCAAAUCACUUAAACACAAGGCAUUAGCAACUUGGUGUCAUUAAUUACCAAAACCAAACUUGGGCUUUCACCAACACUCUCCAAGGGCUCCAGGUCGCCAACCUAAGCCGAGGGCGUUGCCAGCGACGAACCUGCAAGGUAUGUCCAAUUUCCUCUUCCCUUUUGGAUUGUGAUGUCUAAUCCCCUCUGCCCUGUUUAGCUAUGAUGUUUGAAGCCUAAAAAACGUCAAGAUUUGCUUCAGUAAAAGGAGUUGGAGCUUGAUAGUGCAUUAGUGGGUUCCAUUAGUGUUUGAAUAGAUCUUUCAGUGAAUUUCAAAUAGAUUUGAGAAAGUAGGAUAUCACAAAUUUCUAGGAGUGAUUGAUCUACCAUUAGAUUACUAUAAGUUCAAGGAAGCAAGGACUUCAAAACUGUCAAGAUUUGAAAACCGAUUUUUGUAUGCAUCUGAUAUUGUCCUAAUUUUAGAUUGAAAUUUUUUUGUUUGGUUCAAGUAUGGGUGACAAGGCAGAUUGGAGUGAUCGUUUUUUGAGAAAUUUGUUUGACGCCUGCAAAGAAGAAAUAGAUGUUGGCAAUAGGCCGAUGGGAAUUUUCACUGCUACUGGUUGGAAGAACGUUGUUUCCAAGUUUGGAGAUAAAUCCGGUAAUAAACGAAAAAAAACAAUUGAAGAACAAGUUAGAUAUCUUGAAGAAGGAAUAUACAAUGUUUAUGGAGUUCAAGAAUUUUGCCACUGGGCUUGGAUGGGAUGUAGAGAACAAAACUGUUGACUGCCCGAAGGAAUGGUGGGAUGAACACCUUGCUGUAAGUAUUGUACUGCCAUUGUAAAUAUUUUGUCAUUUGUUUGUUUUUGCUGUGCCUUUCUAAUUUUUUCUUUUAAUUUCAGAGAUGCAACAAUUCUGAGAAAGGAAUCAAAUGCAGUCAUGUGAAGUUUCGAAAGCAUGGACCAAAGUUUCUUGAAGAUAUGCAUGUCAUUUUUGGCAAGGCACAUGUUGAUGGGUCUACUGCAACCUGUCCUGGAGAUAUAUCCUCCGAUGAUACAAGUGAUGAGGAUGUGGCUGAGGUACCAAAACCUACAAAAGAGAAGGAAAAGACAGUCAACCAAGGCAAAAGGAAACGCAAGGGGACCUCCACUGCUGCUGAAGAGAAGAGAAGAGUCCAUUCUUUCGUAUGUACAAGAACACUUGUUUGAAGAUAGAAAACGCAGCCGAGAGGAUCUCGACAAGUGUUAAAGUAUCAUCUGCUCCUACCAUCAACCAAAUUCCUUCCAUUGCAGAGGCUGUGAAGAUGGUGAAAGAAUGUGGUGUGGAGGAAGGAACUGCUCUAAUGUACACAGCUUGGUCCGCACUUGCCAAUCCUGAAUUUCGAGAGUUCUUUACCUCUCUGGAAACAAAUAAUGGAAGGCUCAAUUUGAUUUUGAGGGAGCAUGAGAAGGAGAAGAACAAGAAGGAAGGCUCAGUUUGAUUUGAAAUGUGCUAGCUAUAACUUAUGUGAUCUAUUUCCAUGUUUGUUAGACUUUUUUUCUUAUGCUCAACCAUAAUUUUUGUGAUAUGUGUUGAACCAAACUGUAGUCUGUACCGAACAACAGCUUGUACAUGUCAUGACUUUCUAUCUAUUUAUCUAUUUUGUGUGAUCUCUGUACUCAUCUAUUUAUCUAUUUGUGUGAUCUUUGUACUCAUCUAUUUAUCUAUUUGUGUUCUGUAGAUGUCUUGACCUGCAUCCUGUGUUUGCUCCAGAUUUUAUUUUUUUUACAUAUCCUUACUGUGUUCUGUAGAUGGAUGACCACUUGAGAGCUGUAGCUAAAGGGCAGAAGGGAUUAUUGUUGCUUGCUGAGCUAUCACAGCAUGCAGCCAUUGUUGGAGGAACGGGGAACUCGUAUGCUGAAAAAUAUUUGCAAAAAGGUGCAUACAGAGAAACACCAGAAACUGGCAUCCAAUGGGUUAUGAGGUGUAUGUCAACACCCAGGUAUUUUUACAAGAUGUUUCGGAUGAGCCUUGAGGUUUUCAAUGAACUUCAUGACUUGCUAGUUUCUAACUAUGGAUUGACCUCAAACAAGAAUGUUUCAUCUAUUGAGUCAUUAGCUAUGUUUUAUGGAUCGUUGGAGGACCGCAAUUAUUUUCGCAAGCUGAAAAUCGAUUCACACGGUCACUUUGGACGAUUCACACCAAGUUUCAUGAAGUAUUGAGAUGUUUGCGCAAGUUAGCUAAGGACAAUAUUACGCCAAGAGAUCCUACUUAUUCUACAGAACAUGAAAGGGUGAGAGAGAACCGUUUUUGGCCAUACUUCAAAGGAGCAAUUGGAGCAAUAGAUGGGUCACAUGUUAAAGUGAUAGUGCCAUUGGAUGAAACAGUUAACCACACAAACCGUCGUGGGUAUACUUCUCAAAAUGUGCUAGCUAUUUGUGACUUUGAUAUGAGGUUUACAUUUGCGGUCAUCGGUUGGCCGGGAUCUGCCCAUGACUCACGCAUCCUCAAUCAUGCAUUGGCAAAUUUUUCAUCAUUUCCUGUUCCUGUAUUAUGUUAGCCGGUUGUAUUAUUAUGUACCUUACUAACUUAUUUUAUUUAGGAAAAUAUUAUUUUGUGGAUUCGGGUUAUUCAAACCGAAAUGGGUAUCUUGCAUCUUUCAAAGGAAGCACCUACCAUAUACCAGAAUUCCGGAAUCGUUCAGAGCCUCCUCAAGGAAAGUAUAAGGUUUUCAAUUUCUUACAUUCAUCCCUUCGUAAUGUCAUUGAAAGGUGUUUUAGAAUCUUGAAGCAAAAGUGGCGUAUUUUGAAGGACAUGCCAAGUUUUGAUGCUACUACUCAGACGCAUAUCAUUACUGCUUGUCUUGCUUUGCAUAACUUCAUCCGUGAUAGCAAAAUACGUGACAAGGAGUUCGACAGGUGUGAUGCUGAUGAGGAUUACAUUCCUCGAUGUGCAAAACGCAGAACACAAACACAAUAAGAUGGUACCGACGAAGGGGAGAGCGAUGAAUCCAUGAAUAUCAUACGUGAUAGGAUAGCUGAUGCUUUGGUUAGUGCGAGAUGAGGCUAGUUAUGUUGAGAGAUGACAUUGUUGUAUCCGAACUUUGAUGGAUAUUUUUCUAUUAUGUUAAAUUAUUUUACCUUUGCUUAAAUACUUAUUUUCAUAUAAAUUAAAGAACAAAUUACUAUGUUUCGAGCAAUUUCUAUAUAAACAUGUCCUAGACAGUUAGGGGCAAACACAGGUAUUUCACAAACAAUCUACAGUUUGACAACACCUCCAAACAAACGACCUUCUGCUUUUCCCACAGCUGUUUUCUAAUAGCUGCUUUUCCACAGCUCACAACCCACAACAGUUUUUUUUCAAAAGCCGCAGCUCAACCAAAGGCACCCUUAGUUCGCUUCAGCUUAUUAACUAAUCCCUCCAUCCCAAAUUGUAAGUCAUUCCAAGAAUCUUGGAGAGUCAAAACAUUUUCACGUUUGACCAAAAUUAUAGAAAAAAAUACUAAGAUUUGUAACGUAAAAUGAAUAUACUAUGAAAAUAUAAUUAAGAAAGAAUCUAAUGAUACUUAGUUAGUACCAUAAUAAUUAUUAUUUUAUAAUAUAAAUUUAGUCCUCUAAAAUUUUUGGAAUGACUUACAAUUUAGGAAGAGGUAAAAUCAAUUAAUAUGAAAUAAUAUUUUUUUCUCACGGCAAAUCAAUAUCAGCUUGAGAGAGAGAAGAAAACAGCCAGAGCUAGACGGCAGACGGCUGGAUCCCAUCGUCAGAGCCAAAAAAAAAACCAGCGCUGGAAACAAAACCCACCACGUCGGCGCACCGCUGCUCAGUGCUCCGAGCGUCAUCCUCCGCCGCGACAUUUAAACCUUCGCUCCCGACCGCCGCCGCCGACUCCUCAUCCCCAAUGCUCUCCUCCUCCUCCACCACCGCUCACUCGGCCACCUCGCCCCUCCCCGGCCCCGCCUCCACAAACCCUAACCCCCGCUCCCGCCUCCUCCGCCUCCACGCCGCAUCGCGCGUGCCGUCCGCGGCCUUAAACGCGCGCGGGCGCCCGCCGAUGUGUUCGGUCAGCGCUUCGUCCGCCGCUGGGGCGGGCGGCUGGGGAGCGGCGGCAGUGGGGGAGUUGGCGACGGAACGGCUGGUUGAGGUGGCGCAGCGGGCGGCAGACGCGGCCGGGGAGGUGCUCAGGAAGUACUUCCGCCAGCGGGUUGAGAUCAUCGACAAGGAGGACAACAGUGCGUGCUACGCUCACCACACUCGUAGUUUUGUUUUGCUUCCUGCUUGGGUAUAGGGUAUAGUGUGCUGGUUGUUUCAGUGAGAGAAAAACACGGUUGGCAGGCAGAAAAAGCAUGGCUUAUAAGACAAGCGAACGGGCUAAGUACUCCGUAAGUAUUUAGUAGUAUUAUUAGUUUCUGUUGCAAGGAAUGCUGCCACGGCUAGUGCAGGAGCAUACUUUGUUUGAAAUCACUUGAAACUGUAAACUAACAGGCUGAUAGUCUUUGUUACGUCCUGCAGUAUGCAAAUCAUUUCCAAAGAAAGAAAUGUGUAGGAAAUUUGGUAUGCGGUUGUAAAUUACUCAAAGUUUAGGGAGUACUGGUCAUUAGAGUGGUGAUAAAUUACCAUUUCUUUUGUAAGGAAUUACUCAAUUCAUUAUUUGUGCUCUUAAUGGGAGCCUCCUUCCUAUGGGUGUGCUCAGGUGAGCUUUGGAAAAUUCAAGGAUUCUACACCAUUUCUGUGUAUAUCCUUGUAUAGUUUUGUUUUUCUUCAAGUCCAGAGAAUCAUUAGGGCUUGACUUGUGAACAAGAUUGACUGUAUAUAAUUGUACAACUUCCUUCCUCAGUAACCCAUUCUGCAAAACCUUGUCAGGACAACAAGUCAAUCUUGGUAAUUGACUUAGUUGGAUUAGGUAGGUUGAGAUGGAAAAUUUGUGGUCAAACAACAGGACGAGCACGAUGGCAUCAAUAGGUAGAAGAAAAUCAACCCUUUUUAUGUUACAACUUUCUAAUAAUUAUCUAUACAGGAAGCUGAUGCCUGAUAGACGUGUUGUGUAAAGUGUUCACACCAACAUUGAAGUUCUUUAAGUACUCUUUCGUUCAACUUGAUCAACAUAGCGAUGUUUUAAAUUGGGCUGACUUCGGGAUGUAUAGGAACCUACUAUCCAUAUCUGAUUAUUGGAUAAAAGGAUACUUGCACUGGGACAUUAGAAUAUUUUAUUUAAUUAUAUUGGUGGGUUUGUGCCUUUUUUUUUUACUUAUAGAAUUGUUCAAUAUUAUCCAGGUCCUGUUACGAUUGCAGAUAGAGAAGCAGAAGAAGCAAUGGUGUCAGUUAUACUGAAGAGCUUCCCUACUCAUGCCAUGUGGGAUUGCUUUGCUAGUGUUUAAAAUGUUAUGUUCACUUUUAUGGCACCUUGAACAUGCAGUUCCAACAUUUACUUGAAUCAUGCAGUUUUGGUGAGGAGAAUGGUUGGAGAUGUGCAGAGAGUUCUGCAGAUUAUGUUUGGGUUUUGGACCCAAUAGAUGGAACGAAAAGUUUCAUAACUGGUAGUGGAUCUUUGAUCACAUUAUGAGUUUAUGAUUGAGAAGAUUAAAUUGAACUUUUAAUUAUAAUGAAUGUUAAUUCGUUGUUUGCAGGCAAGCCUCUUUUUGGUACACUUAUAGCACUUCUGCACAAUGGGAAGCCGGUACACUUGCUUUCUUUUGUUCAUUUCUAGCUGCCUUUGUUUUCAUUGGUAUUCACUAUUUCCUUCAUUCUGUUUUACAACUAUUUGACGGCAUACGCAGAUAGUUAAUGAUUUAUCAGGGUCACAAAACACCAUAUCGUUAUAUUUAUAUAAUGUCUCUGUUCGUUAUAUCAGCAAUGAACUACUUUACAUGGUAUUUUGAUUACAAUUUUCUAAAUCAUUAGCUAUUUUUUAAUCAUGAUGUCUUUUGAGAAAUUUCUUGAAAAUUUUCUUUGUGGGCAUCUUUACUAAUAUAUUUGAUAUUGCUAUUUUCUUUAGUUAAGCUUGAUUUUUUUGCUUCUGUUCUCUAGGUUAUUGGUGUCAUUGACCAACCAAUCUUGCGAGAAAGAUGGAUUGGGGUGGAUGGGAAACAAACAACUUUGAACGGACAAGAAAUAUCCGUUCGCUCUUGUAAUUUACUUGCACAAGCUUACUUGUAUGUACAUUUGUUUUAGUAUUUAGACGUAUUGUGGAUACAUCUCUUUACAGUCUUGAAUAAUGCAUUACAGUAUAACAAUUCUUUGUUCUGCUAUGACAGAUAUACAACAAGCCCACAUCUCUUUGAAGGAGAUGCUGAAGAUGCAUUUAUUCGUGUAAGGAAUAAGGUAUGUGUGUUACAUUAUAGCUUCAUGUUUUUCUGCAAUCAUCAACAUUACUCACAUGUAUUUACCAUCUCUAUUGCCAGGUGAAAGUCCCACUUUAUGGCUGUGAUUGUUAUGCUUAUGCUCUUCUGGCUUCUGGUUUUGUGGAUAUUGUUGUUGAAUCCGGUUUGAAGGUAUGAUUUCCUUUUUUUUUGUUAGGACCUAGGAAUAUGGCAUUAGCCUUUAAAUUGUGUUCAGUAGAGGGUUUCUUGUUUUCUACCUUUUCUGACAACAUAAAGGGAAGGACCAUAAAUAAACUGAAAUCAAGCUAAUAGAGUUGGUUUUGACUUUUAAUUAUUUGCAUUUGACAGUUUGACAAAGGUCCUUUUGAUUUUCUAGCAAGAUUGAAUUACUUACUGAAGCAUUUAAUUUGCUAAGUUUUGUUAGAUGUACUCAGAAGUUAUGUAUAUAUUUUGAAAGCGUAAGUCAGCUUAAGAACAUUGAAAGCUGAGGUUGACUCAAAACUAGUGGGCACCGUAAUUUCCAAAGCUUUUCAUUCAUUGUUUUCUGGAUCGGUGUUUUAGCUGUACCAAAUUGGUCGAUCAUGCUUAUGUAGCGAGCUUUUAGUGUAGCAACUAAUUAACAAACAUUAAAGUUAUGUUCCUGUUCUUUUAUUCUCAUCUGUAUACAAUGGUGCUGGUAUUUGGUUGGUAGUUUGGUACUCCCUCUGUCCCCGAAAGAAUGCAAUUCUAGAACACAGUCAUGUUUUAGUAUACCAAGUUUGACCAAUUAUAGAUAAAAGGUAUAAAUAUUUAUAAUAUCAAAUAAACACCAUUAGAUUAAUUACAAAAUGUAUUUUCAUAAUAAAUUAAUUUUAAUUAAGCCAUAAAUGUGAAUAUUAUUUACUAGAAACUUGGUCAAACAUGAAACACUUUAACUGGCACGCGUACCAUAGUUGCAUUCUUUUGAGGACAGGGAUAGCUAUGAUUUAGGUAUUGUUUUGACUCCUCUAGAUAACCACUAGAACCAUGCUGUCUCAAUCUCAACUUCUGGAUCAUUUAAUAUUUGUACCUGGUUAAUCAUUUGAAUUUUGAAAAUAUAUAUCAUAUAUGUGAUAUGAUAUCAUCAGGAAGUUAUCUUCAUGCAUGAUAAAGAACAGAAGUUUAGAAAAAUUAUUCUCUGAACUCAGAUUUGAUUUCACAUGACUAUAGUUGCUAGUACAAUCUUAGGGAAAAGAAAAAACUGUGAUCAUAUUUAAUUGAAUAAGAGCAGUCUAUGUAGCAUGCAUUUACUGCCUGAAUGAAUGAAUUCUUUACUACGAUAACUGAUUUUGUUGGUGGCUUGGUGCAGCCAUAUGAUUUCCUCUCCCUGGUACCUGUCAUUGAAGGAGCUGGAGGGUCAAUAACUGAUUGGAGAGGGGACAAUCUCCAUUGGCCUGUUACUGCAGAAUCACGGCCCACAAGUAUAGUCUUCCCUUCUCAUUAAAAUCAUCAAUCUAUUUUUGCUGUCUCCAAGUCCUUCCAAUGUUGCCUCAGGCCCUCAGCUCAGAGUGGCCCUCUGGUUUCAGUAAUUUCAUAGAGAUUAUUACGCCAAACUGCAUUAUGGCAAAAACUUGCUCUAUUGUCACUUAGAUCGCGCACUUCUUGCUUUUGAUCAGAAAAUUUCAGUUCAUCUCAUGCUGCACUAUUGAUUUAUUUGUAGGUUUCAACGUGGUAGCAGCUGGGGAUGCCCGUGUCCACAAACAGGCCCUUGAUACGCUGCAGUGGUGCUAGUGUGCUGCUUAGAUAAGCAUUAUACUACUACCCAUAUUUAGAUAUUUACAGGUGAUAUUUAUAUGAUCAAUAAUAAGCUUUACCUGUAUGCUUGUUGCUUGGCCUCAAUCUUGCUGUAAUAAUAAACUGCAUGGUUGUAAACUAUGAAGCAGUGGCUUGCUGUUUGCACCAAGCAGAGAUUAUGUCAUGGGAAUGAUAAAUAUGCGAGGUCGUACCGUAGUGUGAGCUGCCCUUGCACCCAACAAUUCAGCGCCCUGUGCGGUGUUUGGGGAUGCUUAAUCGAGUUUGGUGCUUCAAUGGUUUAUCUGGGUGCUGCACCCUAGGUUAAUUGUGAGUGAUGAUUUACAGCCUUGUCUGAAUUUUGGACUGAACCGGGGUCUAUGGUCAGUCUGGGCUUUGGGCAAUGGCGUUUUCCAGCUUCAGACGCCUAAGGUUCGUUGAGCCAUGUCUCCAGUGGUCAUAGAAGUCAUAGUUACAAGAGCAUCUCCAAAAGUUAAUCCUUGGUUUUUAGCAAGAUGAGAAAAAACUUCUCCAACAACUCCUAAUCCAUCCUCCUGAUCUUAGGAAAUGUGGCGCAUAUCUUCUCUCCUUGUGUGUUUGUUGGCCAAUUUAACGUGAAAAGAAUAAAAAGUAGGAAAAGGUAGGAAAAAGUUUUUGAUGUAAUAAAUAUACAAGAGAAUAUAUAAAAGUGGUUAGAAUAAUUUAGAGAUAGUAUAGGAUUUCUGAUGUAAAUUGUCUUCUAUGAGUGGAUUAUUAGAAACUCUUGGAGAUGGUUUUGUUUCUUUAUUCCUUCCAAUACUUUUUUAGAAGUUGUAAACUCUAUGUUUUGAGAAGAAAAUAUUGAGUACUUUUGAAGAUGCUCUAAGGAGGUACAUGUCACAUAAAGACUACAAUAUGGUUCUAGUUAUAGUUAGACUAGUCUUUUAUUUGGUUUAUUAAUGAUUGUAUGCUAGCUCUAGUUUUGCUCUUCGAUAAUAGCUAGACUAGUCUUCUCACCGAUUUUACUCACGUAGGACGAUUGAUGAUGCAGUGACAAAGGUUAGAAGCCGUCAACAAUCAUAUAUAACCAUGGUGGUGGUGGAAUAGUCUCUACCACUAAUUGCAGCAAUCUUUCGUCUGGGGUAGCUAGAUGAUCAUGCAUUUGAAUGCAGAGAUCAGCACUACUGAUGAUGAUGUUUGAUAUACUCCAUCCGUCAUAUAGAAAGAAUAAUAUAGCAUUGUGCUAAGGCAAUGCAUCUUAAGUUCAAUCAAAUUUAUAUAAAAGGAUAUUAAUAUUUAUCAUAUUAAAUAAGUAAUUAUUUUUUUAUAUAUUUGUUUUAGAGUUAUAGUAGAUGUUUGAUGCUAUUUUAUAAAUUUAUUAGUCAAAUCUAAGACGGAUAUAGUAGUAACUUUAUCAACAUUUGACAGCCGAAAGUUAUGGUUGAAGAUCAAACUGUCAAUUGUUGACACAAAUAAUAUCAGUUGUUAUAGCGAUAAUAUGAUUGCAGCAACACGAUAUAGACGGUGGACAAAUAAUAUGGACGGUACGUUCACCAGGGGGAAAAAAACAUGCAAAGCUAGCGUUUACGUGCCAUAUGACGAUUGCAGUAAUGCGAUAUGUAUAGCUUUUUAUCAGAUGCGGCUGUGCAGGAACUGUGUGGCAGACAGGCCCAGGUACUCCGCGGUGACGGGCCUGAAGACGCGCGGCUCGUCGGACUCGAGCACCGCCGCAAGCUGCGGCCACAAGAAGGCGCUGGCAAUCCACGAGCUAUCUUCCCCGGGCCGUGCGGCGAUCGAUCUGCAUGAACCCACAGCACAACCUCGCCGUCGACGCGCUUGUUGGCAGCGCCAUAGCGGCGGCGCCGAAGCCGAAGUCCGUGUCGGUGGCGAACGAGGUCACGGUCAUCGUGGGGCUGCCCAGCCCGAUGCACGCGGCCUCAACGUACCCGCUCGGUCUUGUGCUCCUCCACCCAGUCCACCAGCUCCUGGAAGUGCUCGUUGUACGCCGGCGCCGUGAUCGCCUCGCUCACCGUGGCGGCCACGUUCGACAGCGCCGCCCGACGCGACGUCGUCCACGCGCUCCUCCCGGAGCACGAAGGUGGUAACGUUGCCGACGCAGUUGCGCAUCGCGGUGCGGGUGCGGAGCCCCCGCGGCGGCGAUGUGAGCCGCGGGCGCCCGUCCACCCACCACCCCAUCCGGCAGCGUGUGCGUCCGCCGCGCCCACCACGCCGGCGAGGGCCUUCCAGAGGUAGGCCGACACCGCCUGGACGGGACGCGAGUCGCGCGCCGGCCGUUUCGGCUCGCCUCCUCGCGCAGCCAGACGAUGUCGGACGCGCGUCGACGUGGUACAUGCGCUCGACGAAGCUCUGCUGAAAUGUCAGGACGUUGACCUGGCUCCUGGCGUCCACCGACCACCGGCGUGAACGCCUCGUUGAGCGCGGCGGCGGCGGCAUACGGCGGCGUCGGGCGAGGCCGGAACACGGAGCGGUCGAGGUUCGGCCGGCGGGACACCGUGGAGACUUCCCCGACAAGGCGAGCUCUGACCACGCGCCGACGAGCGAGCUGAGCGCUCGCCCGUCGACGAGCAGGUGGUUCGUGGACCACGCCACGGUGAAGCCGCCGCACGAGAAGGACACCACCUGAACAGACAGCGCCACGUCGUCGCCGUACGGCAGCUGGAUCCUCCUCAAGGACGCGCUCGUCUCAGCAUAGUUCAGGCUCGCCAGCGCCACGCCGGCGGCGGCUUCCCCGACCACGAGCUCCGCGCCUUGGUUGCUGCAGUGGACCUCGGGGAAGCCGGAGCUCGGGUUGGUCGAGAUGCGGCCGGCGAGCAGGAAGUAGUGGUUCAGCAAGGAAGGCAAGCCAGCCUCGCUCGAAGGUGGCCACGACGGCGUCGAAGGACAUGGCCGUGGCCGGAGGCUUGGGGUAGAGGCAGAACAUGGCGACCCGGAUGGUUUGCGGGAGGAGAUCGAGAUUGGAGACGGCGACGACAUGCGGCUCGAUGGAGGUGUCGGAGGCCAUCACGAGACGGCGGCUCACGACUCGGACAUGCAAGUCCUUGCAGCCAUGGACGCUAGCCAUUCUUCCUCGCUCCUACACUCGCGUGUGGUGUCAGCUGGCUUGCUUUUGUUAGUAGGCGCCGCACAGCCAGUUCGAUUCUCUCCUUUUGGAGCCAUUUGAAAUGACAUAGUCCUUUUGGAGUAUAAGGCCUUGUUUAGUUCCAAAAAAAUUUUGCAAAAUUUUUCAGAUUCCCCGUCACAUCGAGUCUAGACGUAUGCAUAAAGUAUUAAAUAUAGAUGAAAAUAAAAACUAAUUACACAGUUUGGUCGGAAUUGACGAGACGAAUCUUUUGAGCCUAGUUAGUCUAUGAUUGAACAAUAUUUGUUAAAUACAAACGAAAUAGGUACUAUUUACAUUUUGCAAAAUAUUUUGCAACUAAACAAGGCCUAAACCAGAUGCUGAGCUCAUUGGCUCUCGAAUUAAGCAAUGUUUUUGAGGCUUUUAGGUGUAUGUUAUUAUAAAAAGUUGGUAAUUACUUACAAACUAUUGAAAAAAAUUGAGUUUUCAUAGGUGUCAUUGCUCUAAACUCUUUUGCCCUUCAUGCCAUUUCUGUCAGAUUUGGCUCUAACGAAACCGCGAGUGUGAAAAGUCAAAAAUACCCUCGAGGCAAAAUAUAUAAUUAAUUUUUUCGACCAUCUUAGAGCAUCUCCAAAAGAUUAGCCAAAAACACUAGACAAAUUUACUGAUUUAGCUACUCUCUAAAAUAGAUUCGACAAAAAAAAUAUUAGAGUACUCCAACAGACUCCGUAAAGGAUGGCUAGUGAGGUAGGCUAUCCAAAAAUAGAGAGCGAAUAAGGUGGGAUGAAGAGCUAUUAAAUUUGAAGAGUCGUUUACAGAGUAUAUGUUGGAAACGUUUUUCCUUCCAUAAUAGCUAAAUUUACCUUUAGAAAAUGAUUUGGCUAAUCUUUUAGAGAUGCUCUUAAUGACCUCAAAUGAAAAAACUCAGAACUAUAAAGUUGUAGAUCUCGACAAUAUCUAUAAGUUUUGUAUAAAAAUUAUUUUCAUUGAAUUUCGUACAAAAAAUAUAUGAUUUGAUAUGAUUAAUAUGUUUUAGAAAAAAAAAUAUUUUUUAUACAAAAUCAGAUAAAAAUAUUUAUUUAUUAUAUAAAUAUUGUAGACCUCAACGAUAUCUAUGACUUUCUAGUUUUGAGUUUUUCAUUUAUGAUCGUUAAGAUGCUUAAAAAAACCUAAUUGAAUAUUUAGAUAUGAGUGUAUUUUUGACUUUUUAUAUCUGCAGUUUAACAUCGUUAAGGUCAAAUCUGACAAAAGCGACGUAGAGGAUAAAAGAGUUUGGAGCAGUAACACCUGUGAGAGCUCAACCUUUUUAAUAGCUUAUAAAUAAUCAUUGACGGACUCAGGCCUAGGUUCACUAGGGCCUUGGCCCUAGUGGUAGACUAGGUAUUCUAGGUACAGCUCUUUAAUCUCUGGACUAUUGUCUUAUUAAUUUAUCAGAGUUUAGGCCUUGUUUAAUUUCCAAAAAAAUUUAAGAUUUCUUGUCAUAUCGAAUCUUUAGACACGAGCAUGAAGCAUUAAAUAUAGAUAUAAAAAAUAACAAAUUACACCGUAUGCCUAUAAUCUGCAUGAUAAAUUUUUUGAGCCUAAUUAGUCUAUAAAAUUGGAUAAUAAUUAUCAAAUACAAACGAAAAUGCUACAGUAGCCAAAGCCAAAAAAAAUUUCUCCAACUAAACAAGGCCUUAGCCCAAUAGCUUUAAUGCCAACCAGCUCAGGGAGAUUAGGAAUCGACGCCUAUUCUCUUGUUAUCUCGCCCUCUCGCUUGGAUGCUUUGUUUGCUCACGCCACCACUCGUAACUUGUGCUCGUUGCCCGCCAGUGCUUCACCGCACCAUAGUCGGGCGAGUAGGCGAGAAACAUCAUCACUGAGAGGAAGGGGCGGGAGAAGAUCAACCAACGCUUCAUCAAGUUCUGUCACGGCCUCAAGAAAGCCCUGAUCUAAUUUAUGAAGUAAUUGAAUCCCCUGUAAUUCUUCUACUACACCCGUUCUGAUCUUAACAAAAGAAAACUCCACCAUAAAUCUUGGAAACGAAUGGACAAUGUUACGAUCCUCUCUGACGCUACAAGAUACAUUCAGGCUACAAAUCCAUUGUCAUUAAGUAAGCUUACUUUUUUGUUUGUCUUUUUUAAUUAACUCUCACAUCUUGUGUCUAGAUUUAGGCGUUACUGAAAAGGACAUGAAAAAUGUGAAUGUAGCAUACCAUUGCUAGGUAUUUAUUUUUGUAGUUCAAUGUUAUAUUCUUGUUAUUGCUAAGUAUUUAUUUUUGUAGUUCAAUGUUGUAUCUUUAAAAAUUGUAUGGCAAUAUGUAGUUGGAGAACUUCUGAUUAAAAAAUUUUCUUUGUAAUAACAAUUUUUAUACAUAGAUUAUAUAGACGAUGGUGUAGUUUUUAGCUUUUCGCUACUAGGAUUUGGCCCUAGUCAUAACCAAAUCCUGGGUCCGCCACUGUAAAUAAUUAUCAACUUUUAUAAUAACAUACAUGUAAAAUUCUCAUAUUUUUGAGCUCUUGAAGUCAACGGAAUCUUUCAUACAAACGGGGGCUUCGAUGCCGCUAGGAAAAUACACGAACAAGCCAGUCACGAUUCAAUAAUCGAGCUAGGCGGUUGACUUGUAGGAUCGUAUUAUCGGUAUGAGUACGCCAUUCACAAUUUAAGCCUUGUUUAAUUCUGAUUUUUUUUUGUUUUCAGAACUGUAACACUUUCAUUUUUAUUUGACAAAUAUUAUCUAAUUAUGGAGUAACUAGGUUUAAAAGAUUCAUCUCAUAAUUUACAAGUAAACUGUGCAAUUAGUUUUUAUUUUCGUCUAUAUUUAUUACUAGUGGAGGAGCACGCGCCAUCGCGCGCACGUGGAGACAGAAUUACGAAGGCUAAGUAGCGUUGUAGUUAAAGGAUAUAGUGUGGGCCAGUAUACAUUGAGAGAAAUUGUCGAUUGAAAGAUACUAAGUAUGGUAGAUCAUGAUUGUAAUAUUACAUAAGUUAUCACAAAAUUAUACGGAUAGAGUUCACAGGUUUAGCACUGUUAUAAUUAUACAUAGGGUGAUGAAUAAUAGGUGUAGUAGUGUUCACUGCUUCAUAGUUCUAUACAUCGGGGGUAAGGUCUUGGUUUAUGUACAUAGCGAUAUCGAGAGUAAUUAUACAUGUUCAUUUCAAGGUCGGUAGUGAUCGCCCAAUUAUCCUCGUAUGCGGUCCCAAAAGCUGUGUUUGUGGAAGGUCCGGCCAUGUUGUUGGAUCAGUCUGAUGGAGAAAAUACUCUGUAAAUUUUUUUGGAACUAUGAGUUGUGUUUUGAGCAUCUGUUAUAUGAGCGUUUGAGAAAUGUACCUGAAUCCAUGCAUUCCAUGGUUGGUCUAUGCUGACCAUCAGAACUCCAUUUUCAUGUGGCCUUCUUCUAACUGACAUAUCUCCGAGCGGUAAUUCAGGUGAGGUGUUUGAGCAAAGUGAGCAAGAUUUAGUAAAACAUUUCAGAAUAUUAGUGUUUUAUUUACCAACCAUGAAAGCUCUGUGCUCAAAUUGAGAACCCAUUGUCGUGGCUCUGCUCUUUGUAGUUGAUGUGUACAAUGCUCUGGAGAUCCUCCUUGUAGUAGCUUCUUUGCUGGAAAAUAAAAAAAUGUCAACCAAAGCUAUGCUAGGAUUCCCAAGGAUUCCCAGUGAUUUGACUAUUCAGUAAGUUAACUAAAUGGAUAACAAAAAUGAGCUCCUCAUGCAUUAGUUGGUUUACCUGCAAGUUUGUGCCAGCUGUUCCAUCCUGAAAAGCAUACUGCCCAUUGGUUGGUUGGUUGUCGAAGACGUUUGGAACGGACGACUGGAACACAUCUCCUUGAUUGCUGAAUCAAAAUCCUAAGCUGGAGCUUUCCAAUGAGAAGACCGAGCUUGUCAAAGGGCCAUAGGCUUGGAACAUCUGAAUGUUGCCAGCGACAUGUAAGUAAUCUACUAAUUUGGUCGAUUGGUCCUUCACAGGAUGGAACAUGGGGAAAGUUUAAACUCGCAUCUUUAUAUAGGAGGGUAGGCAGGUUGCUGAAGUCAAUUGGGGUCUUGCAAGCUUCAUGAAGAGAGCUGGGCUAGAAAGCAUUGAAAUCGAUAAGAAUUUGGAAAAAUGGAAUUUUUGUUAGGUGCAUCGCACAGUUUGAACUGGGGCUCUGCUACUUACCUCAGGCCUGUUGUUGCUGCGAUUGCACCUAGCUUAUGAUUUCGUCGAGCCUCAGCACCUUGCCAAUCAUCCAAGCAAAGAUGGCGGAAAGAACUAAGUAAAAUCUGUAGCUAAGGGAUUGAGCAAUAAGAUCUUUGAAUACAAUCUUUUUAUUACGAUGCCACCACUAUCCAUCAAUAAAGAUAAUACAAACAGAGCUAUACGGGUAAGAAUAUAGAGAUGAAAUCAAAAUAAGGAGUACACAUGUCAUUUUUCUGCCAAAAUUGAUGGGAGUUGGCAACUUGAGAUCAGUGAAAAAGAAGGGAGUUUAUGACAUAGUAGUACACAGUGUGACCCAUAUUAGCAUGUGUAGGUCCUGUGAAAGUCAGAACAAAAGGGGAAACAAUUUAGGAAACCGUGGCAUCUUAACUGAGAAGACAAAUCAGCAAAAUCAUUUAAAAAAGAGAAGCACAUGGCCAAACUAAGGUGAGUCUAGGAGGUGAGAAGAAGAGGGACAUGGAGUGGCGGCAAUGUCCAGCUGAGAUGUAGAUGUUAAAACCAUGCCAUGUAUUUUCAAGAUGUAGGGGACAAAUUUAUGGAUUUAAAAAAAGAUGUAAGCAGGACCGGAGUAAGUAACUCUACAUGAAAAAUAGUUCUAACAAUGACAACUAACAUUGUCAGUGUCUGAAAGUACUGCACAGGUAUAUUGAUAUGGCUAACAUUACAAAUAGGGAGAAAGUGCAUCAAAGGAAGAUAGACUUGGCAACCUACAAUUGAUAGUACUGCACAGGCAUAUUGAAGGAACAUUCGUUGCUACAAAUGGGGCAUAAGGCAAGUUUCCAACAUGUAAAUUAAUUGCCUUGUGCUUGAUGUUUGUCACACAGUUUCGUCCAAGUAACCUUUAAGUGUGGACUGUUUUUAUCCAAUAUUAUAUUUUAAUGGGAGGAGGGUCAGUCCACAAUAAUAAAAACUAAAAUGUAGCAGGUUAUCUGAACCAACUAAUCUUACCCCUUACCUUAACAAACUUAACAGAAGGGUCUUUGUCCCCACUACCUAGCCAUCCAUUUUGCAGCUUCUAAUAAGGUUCAUUGAUCUUCCCCUGCUUCUCACAUAAUAAAUGCCUAGCUGCAGUUAUAGGAUUAUCAGUCAACCUUUAUUUUGUAGACUAAAACAGUGGGCACCAUGGUAGUAGUAUCUAUGUAGCAUAUUGUCGGAAUAGUAAGUAUGGUAGCUUAGACUGGCAUAUACAUGCAAUUCUAAUGUUGCCUCUAGUUUGUCCUGUAUCUCGUAGAUGCAGACACACAAACAAAGUGUGGCAGUCAUCCAUCACACCACUAUUUCGUGGAAGAAAAUAUAUGGGGCCAAAACACCAGAAUGUUGAGUAAAUCUAGUAUCAUAUCUAUUGAGUAGAAAAAAAACUUAAUAAUAAUACUAUCAUUUUAUCACCAGUUUAAAAAGCAGAAUGAAAUUAGAUGUGCAAAGGUUAUUUACAUGAAUCACAUGAAUGUUGAUCAUAUUCAUUAAACGAGAAUUUAGAAGAACUGCAAAUCUCAUAAGAGAAUUUAUCAUUGUUAUAAGCAUCAACUACCUUAUUUUGGUGAAAAUGGAGAUUUAAAAUAUCCUGUUUCCUGAAAUCUAUCAAUAUAGAAAAGUAGCUUUAUGGGCCCGAAGGGUGAUGGGGUCGAAGGUUUAUCUUUAGAAUAGUUUAUGAAACUAUGAGGUGACUAAUAUCUAUCUCUGUAUAGUAGGACAUCAUGAUUUUCUGAGUUAGUAAGUUUCCCUGUUGAAGUCCAAGGUUUCUACCUAAAGGUUCGAUCAUAUGGCACUGGCAUAUUUUUGAAAGGUAAAAGUUAUGUAAUAGAAGAAAUGAAGGGUACUGUUAUUUGACCCGUAUUUGUCUAAUUUCUUUUUUUUCUAGGUAUGGCGAAAGUACUACUGUAUGAAGAAAAUCAUAAUGUCACUUUAAAAACAAACUCUAAAUCCAUAAUCCUGAGAUGAUGCAUACAAAGUGAAAUUGGACUUUCUUUUGUUCCCAGAAGCCUGUGACCAUCUGCAUCAGGAUUGAUGAAAAAGAAUACUAAAGGAGUCAAUUAAAUCAGCAUAACAAAUAAGAAUAAUAAAAAAGAAAAAAAAACGGUUAAGUUACAACACAAUAAAAGCGUUGGCAAAACAGCCACCAACAUACAAUGCCUUUUCAAAAAUAUUUAAAGCCAAGUAGAGAUACUAAACAAAGCCACAUCUAAAUCUAGCCUGUAAGUAUAUUUAUAAAAUGGAAGUUUGAACUAACAUUUUUCCCAUUUCGCUACACACUCUAGGAUGUUGACAUGGUAACACAUGGGAUAGGAUAAUGAGAACAGAAGAGUGAUAAUUUUUUUGUAAGGUACAAAAUAAUGGUUUACCUGGCAUUGAAAGUAAGAGAAUCUCCUUUUUUCUGUGCAAAUUUAUUUAGCCAAGACAUAUAUGUUUGUAGAGUCCACGUCUAAAUCUAGCCUGUAAGAACUUAGUUAAUUAGCUGCAGAAGGCUAAGUAUUAAACUUCGACCUUCAAAAUGAAAUAAGUACACAAUAAAGUAAUUAUUGUUCCAAUAUCCUGGAAGUUCGCAUGGUUAUGGUCUAUAUAGCGACAUCCAGAUUCAUGUAUCUAGGAUUCUGACUUCCGGGGUUCUCUUCAAAAUGCACAAAGCAUCAUGCAAGGACCGGUCAAUGUCAUAAAGCAUGGAGUCAUUUGGGCGUCUAUGUGAUAUGGAGACUCGCACAAUAGAAAACCUAGCACUAUGUAAUUAUCUCCAAAUUUAAUUUGUUUCACUUAAAAUGCCAAAAAAAAUCUACACAAUCCAAAUUGUUUGGUCCAUGCAAAAAAACGCAGAGAAAUCCACACCACAGGAGCAGGCCAACUGAUGCCGGUUGCUGUCAUCCGGCUGAUGCCAGAUACGCCGAGCAGCCGUGCUGGCGGACGUGAACCACCAGGUGCAGGCGCAUAGUGCAGCCAGGCACCUGCUUCAAGUCGCCCACUAAGGCACAAAUGCCGGCCAGGGCGCGCCCGCAAGGGAGAGGGAUUUGGGGGAGGAGCCAUGGGAGGAAGUAGGAGAUGAAGAGGGUGACGUACCGCCAGAUGCAGCCGAGCCACCGCCGGUGGCGGCGAGGAAGAUGCAGGUAGGGUUUCGUCGAGCGCACGCCUACCGGCGGAAGGAGGCAGCUCUGGGAGGAGCCGAGCCUACGGCGAGCAGUGGGGUCCGGUCGCGCCGCUCCGUGGCAGUCGAGGAUGGCCACCGUGGGGGCGCGUGCUGCAAGGGCGCUGUCGUCGCUGCCCAUAUCGAGAGGGAGACGGAGACCGACCGAGCGAGGAGGAGAAGGGUCGAGACGCAGAAGGCUCAGGAGGUGGAGCGGAAGCUGUUGUAUAUAUUUGCUUGUCGGGAUUCUAACGAGAAGUUCAAGAAGCCGAGGAUAAGCUGGAGAAGCCAAAAAGAAGCAGAAGAAGUUGCUUUCGGCAAAAUCCGCUUCGAUCAAUCUGGACCGUUCAUCGAGAGAUCGUACGGCUGUGUGAAUUUCGGGUGAUGUGGACCCUGCUUCUUUCCCUGGAAGCUGCCGGAUGGUUUAGGGGAGAACUUCAUGCAUGUGCUGCAAGAUUUGAUGUGAUGGAGAAUCUUGAAAAUUUUUUAGUAUUUGGUAAACCAAACAAGACCUUAAUUAAGAAGAACUUCGAAAAUUUGGCAAAAGUUCGGGCGCUGUUAAAAGAAUCUCUAGUUUGACAUGCAUAAUAUAUGUAAUUUUAUUUUACAUAUGCAACUUGAUGAUAGUGUAUUAGCUAGACCUUGACGCGGUAGGGAUCGAACUUUUCUUUUGCUAGUAGUACCGAUUCUGGGGCCUUAUUUCUAGUGGUGAGUGAGGUACUAUAUCUGUAACAUAAGAAACGUACAUACGGAGUAUCACUCAAAGAUAGAGCACGUACAAUACGUCUCUUCCCCUCGUCUGUGUGUUCUUGUUUUUACGAAAAACACCCUCAUCUUGCUUGGAGACGGUCGCCCUGUCGUCUCGCGAGGUGACGACGAGGGCCCAUGCUCCGAGGCUCAAUCGCGGGCCAGAGCAAUGUUGUACGAGUCGUCUUCUCAACUCGCCGACACACACGGAUCCCGCGUGGGUGCACGCGGAAACUAGUAUUGGUACGCGGGAGGUGCCUAGGCUGCCGUGAGCUGCACCAUGGAGUUCCGCCGCGGCCGUAGCGAGACACCACAGCCUGUGCGCGGCAAUCUCCGUCCCGACCGCCGCGAGACGCGCGGACCAGUUCGUCGCACUAUGAGUUGUGCAUGGGAGACAUAGAAAUUGCCCGCCAAAUUCCAUCCCCAUCUCAUUGCCGUCGCCAUCGUCGUCGUACCUAGGCCACUGAGCGCCAAGGGCUCGGACAUCUGCCUGCCCGUGCCGCGUGCUGCUGGCGGCGGUAGUCCAAGCGAAGCCGCGGAAGGGAUCACCGGCACCCCAAGCCAAAGGGGACGAUGGCUACAGCAUCACAGUAAACUACGCCACCAUUUACAGGCCCGGCAACACCCAUCACCACCACCUCCCAUAUCAAAGUAUGUCAACAUCCAUAGCGCACAGGAGGUGUUUGCCAGAAUGCCCAUGAGGUAAACAUUUUCUCCAUGUUAUUGGUCAUCUCAUCUCAUCUCUACUAUAAUUAACCCAGCAGAAUUAUGCUUAGUUCACCAAAGAAAACCACCCCGCUGAGGGCUGCAAACAUUGUGUACCUAGAAAAACGCACACAAGAUUUUGUCUCUAUCAAAAUCAACGUCUCAAAAUCAAUUAGGACCAAAUCCAACGGCUCUAGAGAAAAGUUUGAAGCCUGCAUCAAACUCUCGCUCUCCCACGCUCUUUCCCCCUCACGCCGAAACCUACGCACGACAGCAGGCCGCUGUCCUCUCCUCUGGACACCUGCGCACGGCAGCAGGGAACCUCUCCUCUGGAAUCCUGCGUAGCAGACCAGUUCAAGAAUCCUGCGCCCUCCCCUCUGAUCCAAGGCACCAAAUCUGCACCGCGACAACAUCCUCUGGAAUCCUGCUCAGCAGACCAGUUCAAGAAUCCUGCGCCCUCCCCUCUGAUCCAAAGCACCAAGUCUGCACCGCGACAACAUACUGGCCGGCGUCCUCUCGAAUCCUGAGCAUGAGGCCAGUUGCAAAAUCCUACGCCCUCCCCUUUGAUCCAAGUCAGGAAGUCUGUACCUUUGUCAGAAUCUGAGUACGGCAGUUCAGGAAGCCAACAAGGAAAACUACUAUGUAUGGAUCCAAAAAUAUUUCAGAAAAAUAUUUCAUGAAAAUAUUCUCCAGUCAAGUGGAUCAUGAAGCAAAAAUUUUUAGAAAAACUACGGCUGAUCUGCGGCUGUUGACGGGUGAUCCACAACUGUUGCGGCAAACAUCAGGAUAUCACGAGCGGCUGUUGCGGCUGAUCCGCGGCGGCGGCAUCCUCGCCUACGACAACACGCUCUGAGAUGUUGUAAUGUCUACGCCAGAAGAUACACGCGAGAGACUAAGCGACGUCACCAACAUCCUUAGUACAACUACUUUGUUUGGUCUCCAUAAUUAUUAAUUUCUAUAUAUUAUUUAAUGCUUUGCUCAUAUGGAUAUAGAAGAAAGAUCUGUAACAAUUAUUAAUUUUAUAUAUUAAUUUUUAUAUUAUUUAUUGCUAUGCUUUGUAGAGUCUUUGUUAAUUUUUAGCAUUAUAGUAGUGAUGCAGUAUCAUUAUGCAAUAUCAGCAGUGCCUUUGUUAAUUUUAAGUAUGCAGUAUCAUUCGCAAAUGCAUUAUCUGAAUUUUCAGUUUGCAUUGUCUCAAUUUUUCUCUGUGAUCCAGUUAUUUAUUUCAAUUCCUAUUCCUGUUUAAAUUCUUGUAAUAUAUAUAUAUAUAUAUAUAUAUAUAUAUAUAUAUAUAUAUAUAUAUAUAUAUAUAUAUAUAUAUAUAUAGAGAGAGAGAGAGAGAGAGAGAGAGAGAGGGUGCAUUUUCUAUACUCCCGGGAGCAGUUACUCCGUAUCUGUUUUGUACUACAGCUGCGUUAACACCACUAGCCAUAACGGGUAGUGGAUACUGUGAGGGAUACAUGCAGCGUAUAUUUAACAAACUUAAUUAAUUAUUAUAUACGUUGUACGGUCGCCGUGAUUCCAGCUUACCAUGAUUAUCCUAUCUAGAUUGAGCUUGCUCGUUUAUGAGUAUCUGUCCAUACUUUUUGAAAUGAAGUAUAUAGACAUACUUUUUACAAUAGAGUAUUUAUAUAUACUUUUAAAAAUGGAGUAUGGAGUAUAUAUACAUACUUCUUAGAAUAGAGUAUUUAUACAUAUUUUUUUGGCAUGUAGUAUUUAUAGAUACUUUUUAGAAUAGAGUAUUCAUACAUACUUUUCCAAAUAAAGUAUGCACGCAUACGCUAGAUUAAGAUAGUAUAAGUGCAUACUUAAAACCAGACGAUCAGAGUACAUGUGCAUACAUUCACGUGUACUGUAUUCAUAUACUCUGGUAUAUGUAUCACAAUGAAGUAUGACUAUGCACAUAUUUCCAUGGCGACGAGUAUACACAUUAAGAGAAGAGUAUGUACAUUACACAUGAAUUUUUGAGCCAAAAUCAACCAAACUCAUUUAUACUCUGUACAAACAAAAACGAUCAGAAAGAACAAAUCUAGCAACUGUCGUUCCUGGCAUUUGUACGCACACAUCCACAUCUGUGCCACUCGUGAGCAACAUCGCAUUUGUUGGGAAUAAUUUUCACCACAAAAUGCUUUAAGAAAUAGAGAGACGAAGCAUUGGAAUUCACAAAGAAAAUAGAUACGACUCAAAUCGUGCCACACUCGCACUCAUGAGAAUCACCAGCCAAUUGCCAUGGCUGUCGCCGAGCGGUCACUGUGGAUGGAAGGGAGCAGCAACAAGUGCCCUCGCUGAGACGAUGUCGCCGCGGCACCGUGUGGAGUUGCAACAACUCAGCAAGGUACGGCAACAUGGGGGAGUUGUAGCCAUCGAUCUGGAUUUGCAAUUAGUGGCCUCGUUGCCGAUGCGAACGGAGCCGUACCAGUGCUGCCCUCGCCGUGAAGCUAGACGUACGGCGGCGCCACGGCAGAGGACGGGGGCACCAUGGCCCCUGCGUGAGGCUUGCUAGUGGCAAAGAGGACCGCGCCGCCGCCCCUGCGUGAUGCUCGCCGGUGGUGGAGGGGCCCUGCGCCAUCGUCGUCAACAUCGCCGGGAGGUGGGGAGGGCUCGCCACAUCACAGCAGCUAGUGGAAGUGACGAGAGCUCGGCGCAACCGCCGCCCCGUCCUGGAGUGAUGCGAGGAGAGAAAAAUGAGAAAUUAUAAAUGAUAGCCAUGAUGUGUGCAUGCAUGAGCUUGAUCCGAUUUCCACGCUCAACCAAGCGUGAGCUUGAUCCGCUUUCCACGCCAAUUAUCCUCCGAUCGGUACGCUGAUUUUUUAUUCACGAAUACACGUAUCAUGUAAACGGGUCAAGUUUUUUAACCCGUUAGCUAGUGGCAUCUCACCUCUCGUGUGUGCCAAAGAGGAGAGGGAGUAACUACUCCUAAGGAGUAUGAAAAAUUUACCAUAUAUAUAUAUAUAUAUAUAUAUAUAUAUAUAUAUAUGUUAAAAUAUCCACUUUAGAUGAAGGCUCACGGAGGAGAGAGGAAAGAAAUAUACAACAACGCAAUCGUCGAGCUCAAAUGACCGACGAACAAAGAGAAGAAAUUAGAAGAAAGCAACGUGAGUAUCAGCGUGAUUACCGAGCACGGAAGAAAGCUACAUCCCAAAAUGCUACCACUUCCCGUGCUCUUAGUGAAAUAGUGCCAGAUUCUUCGACCAUAGGUACAUACUAAUCUCUUUGAUUCACGCUUCUUGUUACACCAUUAAAUCAUGUAUAUUUUAACCCAUUGGGCAAACUACCACCGUGCAAUUGAUAACAAAAUUAUACAGACACUAAUUAUUGUGGUAUGGAGCUAGACACCCUAACUAUUUUGGACAAGGAAAAUAUCCCACCAGAUGCACAAUAGUCUUAUGCAGUAAAUAUAGUCUUAUGCAGUAGAUAUUAUUUUUUAAAAAUUUCUAUCUCUAAUAUAUGUGCGGACCCACGAGAACGACCUACAGACAACGUUACUACAAACAUGAGUACUAGACAGAGAGCUGAGAUGACUGACAAACAAAGAGAAGAGAUUAAUAGAAGACAACGUGAGUACCAACGGGAAUACCGAGCGCGUAGGAAGGCUACAUUACAAAAUGGAAGCAACACCCCUGUUGUCUCACAAAUAUUGCAGGCAUCUUUGUCCGCAGGUAACUAAUUUGUUAAUCUUAAUUAAGCAUUUCGUCCACCUCAAUGUAUAUAUAUCUUAAUUUUGCAUUUCAUCUUAAUUAUGCAUCCUAAUUAUGUCAAGGUGUGAAUCUUAGAACUGCAUUGUCAACUAUAGUGCAAAAUCAAAUUACGGAUUUCGAAACUGGAUUAUCAACUGCAACUAUAAUGGAUGAUGAUUGAAAGGUUUCCAAGUGAGGAAAAGGUUUACCAUAGCUUUGACACUGUUGUUGACGAUCCUUCAAAUCACUUUUCUAUUAAUUUUUUGAACUCAGUAACUCCAAAUGUUCUCCCCCCACAUGAGCUGAAGCUAAAAAUUAAUUGUCCGGUGAUUCUUCUCCACAAUCUUGAUCCUAACAAUGGGUUGUGCAAUGGAACGAGGCUUAUGGUCAGAGCAUUGCAAGACAAAGGUUACACAUAAUAAAUACUGGUAACCAGUUGUAAUACAUGUCACCUAUUAAAUCACACAAAAAUAGUUAUUUCAUUUAUGUACAUCGAAUAAACAACUGAUCUUGUCUAGAAAACUAGGAGGCUUUCUUGUAUACAAUUACAUGAAGUUGUGGGAUGGCGAAAGAUUGCCACAGAUCAACACUGUAAGUAUAUAUGUUCUGUUUAUAUAUAUUAUACAAUAUAUAGAAAAAUAAUAACUUAUUAUUAAUUAUCUAUACCAUGCACAGCUCUCAACUUCACUUAGGAUGGAAUUCUUAGCAUACGUUUUUGACGAGUCGUGCAAACGAAUAUUUCGACAACAUUUCUGAAGAUCUCCAAUACAUGAUUAAGGAGUUAGACAGAAUAUAACUUAGAUGGUUAUAAUAUUAGAAAUAAUAUUACUACACAUUCUUAUAUGCAAAACUACUUUCGAAUUAUAUAUAGACUCAAAUACAAUUGUAUAAAAAUUAGACUAUGCAAAAAUAAUUUUAUUGUUUUAAGAUACAUUCACAAGAUGAAGCCGUAGCGUUAGCACGGGCAUUAUACUAGUAUUAGUAUUAUUAUUAGACUGAAUAGGAAUUCUCUUACGUAGGAUGAUAUUGUUUGUCAUGGUGAAAGCGGAAGCUACUUUGAAGACUCAAGUUAUGUGUUAUCUAGCUUAUCUAUCUACCUCAUUUCUAUCAUUCAAAGAUUCUCGUCACCAUGUUGUAUGAUUGCAAUUCUGUUUCAAUUCUAAAAAUAGUUGUUGUAGUUCUAAAAAUAUGAUGAGUACAGUUCUAAAAUGUAUGACUUCGAGUAUGGUUGUUACAAUAUUUUUUCCGCUCUGAUAAUAGAUUAUUUUUGGUUCCGAAACAGUCCGAUCCCAUAAAAAACUCCUUUUUCUUAGAAGACUGAAUAGGUGCAAAAUGACAUAUACGUGAACCAGUUAUAUGUUCUAGAAGCAAAAUGUUAUGGACUGCAUAGAUGGUUUACGUUUUUCUAGUUAUAUCCAGAAAUCAAAACUUUCUUGAAUGCCCAAAUGCUUAUCUUGCGGGUCAGGUACUGAAUUGAAUCUCUUUUAUUAUUAGGUUUAAUCCUAGAGUUUGUUGGACGUUUGCCCAUUCGAGUAGUUUUCCUACUGAACACACUGAUUAUCCAUGUUGCUUCCUUGCUAUUGUACAGAACACUAAUGCAAAUGAUUUUGGUUGACUGGUAUGGUGUAUCUGUAUAAUGUAUUGUUGAAGCGUUUCAGUUCGAUUUGGGCAGCUUGCUUUUAGUUCAGAUUGGCAAAUCCCGUCACGUGAUAUGCUGAUCGAUGGUCAUGUAAUUGAGCGUAGCUGUGAUCUAUUAUAUAUCAAAUAACAAUAUAGUGGUAUACAAAAUAGUAUUCAUGAUUGAUCUUGUGGCUACAUGCAUAGCAUUAAAUAGCUUGCAGAUGAUCCGUGUCUAUGAGUUGUAUAACCUGUCUUUUUGGUUGUCUGUACAUCUAAUUUGAGGCACUUGCAAACGACUCCCGUCUGUGAGUUGUACAUAACCUAAUAGUCAUAGACGAUGUUUCCAAAGGGUCAGCUAUAGCAUACUUUCUCUGUCUCAAAAUCAGUGCUUAUCUUGCACUCGAAGGAGUAAAUUUGACUAAAUAUAUAUAAAAAGUACCUGAGAUACUUUAUCUCUCUAAAAAGUUAAAAUAACUUAUAAUUUACAACGAAGAGAGCAACAUUUUUAGGAAGAAUUUUGAUCUCGGAUCUACAGAAACUAUGACGAAAAAUGCAAAUAAAAUCUUGCGUAAAAAUACAAUUAAAUGGGUCACCCUUAAUUUUUAGCAUAUAUUUUAGAAAAUCAAAAAGAUUUUUUUGAGGCUCUAGGUCCUUAAUUUUGGAUCCAAAAAAAAUUAAAAUGUCAUAAUUUGAAACUCUCUUUAUCAUUACUCGUAUAAGAGGAUUUGCAUUAAAAAAAAGGAAAAAAUCCACUUUAUCUCGUUCAAUUUUCAAAAAAGUUUAUUUUCCUCUCUAAACUCUAAAAUCGGACAAGCCACCUCUUUCUCAACUUUUAAAACUGUUUAACUUACCUCCCUAGCCUGAUUAUAAACGGUUUUGAAGGCGGUUUUGUCUUUUUAUUUUUUAUUUAUUUUGACUGAAUCUCUAAAAAUAUAUAGUAAAUAAAAAAAUCAUAAAAUAGAAAAUUUAAUUUUGUUGGACUCUAUAUGAGUUGAUCUAUACAUUAAAUACACAGUUAAUAUAUAAUAUGAUAUAUUUUAUUAUAAAAUUUUUAUUGUAACUUUAUAUCUAUAUUUUUUCUAUAAUUAAACAGAAUAAUUCAACAGUUUCUAUGGAAGGAGAAGAAAGGAGUGGGGGUCUUCAGUUCAGCUGGCUGGGGCAGCUGCCGUACCCUGUCGUAGGUGGAGCUCCGAGGUUGGCAGGACUCAUCCGCGUGUGCGGCGGCCUACACCAAGAACAGAACCACCCACACAUAGGUUCUUGUAGUGGAUUCACUGGAUUCAAUUUAACCAAUUGAUUUCUAUUUUGAACUGCGAUUCUGCGAAUUUGUGAUCUUGUUAAUUUCCACGACAGUCUUCUUGCGGGCCAGAAACGCGAAUCACGAUGAUUCCAGGAAUCGCCCCCAAGACGGCGGCGGCGGUGCCGGUGGCCUGGGCACCUCAGCCUCGGCACAUGUUCGUGUUUGGCGCGGGCUUCGUCGGCCGCUACGUCUCGGAGCGCCUCCUCGCGCAGGGCUGGUUGGUUACCCCCCUCACUCUUGCCCCGCCCACUUCAUCCUCCCUGCUUCUCGCUGGCUGGGCGGCGCCGCGCAAAUCCAGCCCGCUCCUUCCUAAUGUCCAAUUCCCCGUCUCAGCCUAAUUCCUGACUUGGGAGUGGAUGAAUCUGCAGGCAGGUUUCCGGGACGUGCACCAGUGUCAACAAGAAGAGAGAGCUCGAGAUGCUGGGCAUGAAUGCUUCCGUUUUCGAUGCUACAGAGAGCAGGUGUGAAUUCGUGGUUCGUGCUGUUUAUCCUGUCCCCCUUUUCAUUCUUGCACUUGUUUCAAGCCUGCCCCAUUUGUGCUUAAAUAUUGAUGGUUCUUCAGCCACAAGCAUUUCUAAAUAAUGAAUCAAAUAUAAGGAGAGAAGAACCGACCUAUAAGCCAUGGUUGUUCGCUUGGCUGAUAAGCAAAAGUAUUGUUCGCUGAUUUGUUGUGAGAGUGGGCAGAUUCGCCCUUCAUGAUAGGGGAAGCCCCUCCGUAAGCACUGAUUAUUCCCUUCAUGAUAGGAAUCCCACCGGCACAUUUUACAUGCAAAGAACGUAGAGAUGGGCCUAUAGCAGUUUCUGGUGAAAUCAUGCAGAAGCAGGUGGUAACAAGGUUCUUUUCUGUUUGGCUUUGUAACACAUUGCUUGCACUAGGUAACUGUUUGCAGCAUAGAUUCACUAGCCGUACUUUAAGCCUAUUAAGCCUAUCAGAUAGGCUAGUUGGUAGAGUUUAUUUUUCUUAGUUACCAUGAUAUCAAACUGUGUAUCUGACUCCAUUCUGAGGUCUGAACAUCCCUGUUACUUAGCAUGUGUUCUCCACAUCCUCUUGCUCAUAUUAAUGGGCGUGAUGGUAGUAUGUUUCUGUACAUAAAUAUUUCUGUGCUUGGUCGACUUUUAAGUGGUUCUUACUGAUAGAUAUGUCACUUGCAGCCUGGAAAAUAUUCACAAUUUGCGACAAGCAACUCACUUGCUCAUCUCCAUCCCACCCAUCCCUGGAAUUGGUGAUCCUGUAAGUUGUAUUUCAAUCAUUGCUUGUGUUUGUUUGAUCAAGCUUUAAUGCUAACUUGAUUUCACUUUAUGGUAAUUUGCACCUGUUACCCCCAGCUACUUAAUUUAGGCGAAGACCUGAGGAGAACACUCAGCCAUGGUAAUCUUGAAUGGUUAUGCUACCUUUCGUCAACAAGUAAGCUCUCAAAUAUUUCGUGCACAUUCAGGUUUAAUUGCAUGAUAUUUUCAUUUAACAUGUUCAUUAUUUGUAAAUCAUAUGCUACUUGGGGUUGGGGAUUUCAGGGUUGUGAAGGGUGAAGUUGCUCACCUGCUGCUCAAAGUUGUCAAGGUUUUUUGGGGUUAGUCAAGAGAAUUGCUGCAAUUAGUCAGGGGAAUUUCCACACUAAAUAUGUCAAUAUUUUGUUCAUAAGCUAAAAGCUGCAAUAUUAAAAAAAAUCGACCUGCAGGGGCAAGACCACCCCAACAACGUUGCACUAAGAAGAAGCUUCUCAUGUGCAGGCCGAGAAACACCCCAAAGGCCAGCUGACCUGGACGUGCUGUGGACAUGUGUAUCUCGCUAAAUCAGAUUCAGAUGGUUACAUGUAUAACUCAGGAACAUAGCUAAUGAGGGGUGUUUUUUUUAACCCAGGCCUUUUUAAUUUCGCUCCCACAGGGAAUUGAACCCAAGACCUGAGGGGGAGGGGGUUCUUAUUCUUGCAGUAUCAUUAGAAAUGGAUGUUUCGUAUGAAAACUAGCAGGCUCAAAUAGUGGGGAAGAAAAAACAAAUAUCUUCUCUAAGCAAUUAUGAUGCAGAAACUUGAAAUUUCACUAUCUCUAUACACCCAAACAUCCAAACAUGGGGAUAGGCCCCUCGUAUAAAUCUUAUUUAGUUGCCAACAUAUUAUAUGUGGAGUAACAUCAAAUUGAGCAGAGUGCUUCUUCCAUUCUUCUGCUUAUAUCAUGGUAGUCAUUAACUAUAAUGCAUAUAUUUCUUUUUAUCUUGUCAUGCACUUAAUCUGUACUUGUCAAACAUUGAAGCUGAGUCAAGGGUAAUAACAAAUCAUGCUGUGUGCAGUGCACCAUAUAAGAGAUUUUCCUUAGAAAGCUACUUUGUAACAAUUUCCUACUUUCAGGUGUGUAUGGUGAUUGUGGUGGUGUAUUGGUUGAUGAGGAGUAAGGGACUUAUUGGUUCUUCUCUUGUCCAUGAAGUACAUUUUAAUAGAAAGCUAAAUACACUGCUGUGCAUGCAGUCAUACAGUAAACCCAAAGAGUGAGUCUGCCAAGCUAAGAUAUAAUGCAGAAAAAGGAUGGCUGAAUCUUAUUGAUGAUCUAAAUCUGUCAGCUUUUAUAUUCCGUUUAGGUGGAAUAUAUGGGCCUGGAAGAAGGUUUUGACCUGCUGAAAUUUCAUUCCAUUUCACCAUUUUAAUUUCUACUAAUUCAGUUUGACCAAAAAUAGAACAUUUGUUGGCAUGCUGAUUAGUAGCACUGUGUAAAGCUUAUGAAAACUGAAACAUACCUAUAAUGCCAGGUCAAAUAAUAGAAUAGAUUAUAACAUGAAGAACAUCUUAUUGGAGACUGUUGUAGUACCUUGAUGACUGUUUUGUGAAAUCCUUUGUUUCAUAGUUCUUUUCUUAUAUUCCAAUGACUAGACCCUGUUUACUGCAGUGCUUUGGACACCUUAGCCAAGGGCAAAUUUUUGUCGCAGAGACAAAAGUUGCGAGAAUCUAAGCAGUAUACUGCACGAAUCCACGUGGCUGACAUCUACCAGGCUGUCUUGGCUAGCAUGUGCAUCAGAUGUGCAAGGUUCCCUUUUUGGAUGCAUUGAUUUCACUUCAGUUUGUGAUAUCCAACAAUAUUUUAGUCUUAAUUCAUGUGCCACGUUGCUUGUGGGAAUGCACAACCAAGAGAUUUCAACUGUACUUGCCAAUUAACCAACAUAAUGAUAUCAUGCAUCAUGAAGUUUCUUAGGGUAACAAGUAUGGUGGGAAUUUCGCAUUUUGUGCUAUGGACUUUGAAUGGUACUCCCUAAAUUAUAAGUCAUUCUAACUUUAUUAUGUAUCUAGACAUGAUGAGGAUCUUAGAUCAGCCUUUUGUUUCUGGCUAGACGCUUAGAGUUAAUGUCUGUUGUAAGUUUGUACUGUCUUUUUCUAUAAAAUUAUAAAUUGAAGUGCUGUGGGGAUCUCCGCCACGUUUUUUGCCUUAAAAAAAUAUAUAUCUAGAUAUGUAGCAAAACCUAUGCAUCUAAAAAAGCCAGAACUACUUAUAAUUUGGAACGGAGGGAAUGUUUAAUACCUCUAGAUGCAAUAUUUGCACGUUUGAUAUUCUGAUCAUACACUAUCAAAUAUAAAAACUUCAAUUCCAAACCCAAGUACAGAUGGUACUAGUUUUUAGUCAUGUUUGGUUCUUUCACAGGACCUAGUGAAAUCUGAAAUAUCUUGUUUGCUAAUGAUUUGCUUCUCAUGUUUAUAAUUCUAUUCCAGGAAAAUAUUUAAUGUGGUGGAUGAUGACCCUGCCCCAAGAGCUGAGGUUUUUGCGUUUGCUAGGAGUUUGAUACAGAGGAGAUAUCCUGAUCUGAUAACUGAAAUCAUUGAUGCCAACUCUACAGGCUUGGAUUAUCAAGAAAUAAUUAUACCUGCAGAGAAACGGGUUUCUAAUGCUCGGAUGAAGCAGGAACUUGGUAUUAAUCUGCUUCAUCCAACUUAUAGAUCUGGCCUGCAGAGUAUCAUUGAUGCUUGGCAAAUUCAAUCUCAACUUCCCAAUAUAAGUCAGUGAUGUUUUAGUUUUGGAAAGCCAUGGCUGAAAAUAUAUUGCUGCCUGUCAGAAAAAGUACGGCUUAUAAGACAAGCGAAUGAAGUAGUGCAUAUGUCCUUGAUUUGGUUCAGAUGUAAUAAUCUAGUGGAUAUAGACACCCUAUACACGUUGUAGCUUUUUUGCAGAGUUGGUCUGGUGCUCUUGUUAUUUCUAGCAAUAUUUACAAAUCGUAUAGUCAAACCAGACAAUUAAGCAAAUCAAGCAAGCAACAGAUUCUUCAAUCAAAUUAACUAAUUUAGCAAACUAUCAUCCAAAUGAAAGCUUCUAUGUCCAUCUCUAGAGAUAAAAACGGUACGUAUAUUUUCCGACCGUAUUCGAGACUGAAUUUGUUUAGAGUGGUUUAGAUCUGUCUAUAUCUGAGUCUGAAUAUUCAACAUCCGAUACCGUAUUCGUAUCUGAAUACUUAAAUUAUGUAUUUAUAACGUCGACAUCCAAUCGUAUCUUAUCCGACAUGAUUAAUAUUAUCCGUAUUCGAAUCCGAAUCCGACUAGAAAUAUGAAAACAAAUUUAAUAUCAGUGAUAUCCGUCCAUAUUCGAUCCAUUUUCAUAGUGCAGAUCCAUCCGUUGUAUGUACAGAUUCUUCAUCCUCCUCCUCCGUUGCUGUUACUGAACCGGAAUCUACAUGCUGAUCUUGGUUCUCACUGUCAUCUCCAUCAAUAUCUUGAGCCGUUGUUGCUGAAUCAGAUUCUACAUGCUGAUUUUGAUCUUCACUGUCAUCUCCUUCAUCAGUAUCUUGGGCAGUUCCUAUUUGUAGCACAGUUCAUGUUCCUAGCACAAGUAUGCUAGCUUGACAGAGGCAGCAGCACGAGCAGCAACAGCUCUAGGCAGGUUACGUCCCUCUUAUCCAGACGAGCCUAAGUCAUAGCAGCGCCAUCACCUUUUUGUGAAGCAGUUCACAAUUUUCAUCCAACUUUUUUUUUGUACAUGCACAAAAUACAAUACAAAAUCACAUACCGUGCAAGGAAUAUUGGUACCAAACUCCACUCAGUUAGUAAUAGUACUUAGUAUAUGAGAAAAAUCACUUCAAUUACGCUCUUGGUCAUUAUCGACGAAGAAGUCCUUGGAUGUAGAACUCCGGUCCGGCAAGGAACAUAAUAGAGAGGGGAUGGGGCACCGUUUAAUUAAUUUUUAGACCAGCGAACAUAUAAAAAUAUAGUAGACUAAAAUUUUUAUAAUUAUAUAUUAAAAAAAAUUAAUAUUUUUCUAUAUAAAAUUAAUCAAAAUUAUUUUUUUUUGGGAAUAGAUAAAAAUAAAUAUUUAAAGACGGAAGGAGUAGGCAGCGCAACAAGGGUGCGGUUGUGACUGCCGGCAGCCUCAGUGGCUCAUUUUUACGGAUGUACUAUAGUACUGUUUUAAUGACGUCGCUUGUCUUUCUAGUGGCUCGCUAGCAAAGAUGGAAAUACUAUUAUAACCUUUUCAAACUUUCAAUGCACCUAUCGGGUCUCAUACUCGAUCGCGAAAAAAAAAGACAAGAAGCGAGAUCUUGGUGCCUAGAGUGAAGGCAUCGACGUUGUCAUUGAUGAAAUCAUGAAACCCAUUUGAAUCGUUCAGAUGAAUCUACAUGUGAAGCCCCUAUCUUGGUUCUUACAGUGAAGGCAUUGAUGUUUAUCCAAUUUCUUGUUUGUUUUUGUUGGUCUGCACGUAUUUUAUUGUUCCAUAAUAAAUAAUAUCACCUAUUGUAGUAUUGUUUAUAUAUGGAGUAAUGAACAUGCUUGUUAUUGGUUCGCACAAUGUUCAUGUAUCCACUUGUUUCUUUUUUUUUUUUUGGCCCCGUAUACUCUUGUUUGUAACACUUCUGUACAAAGUGAUUGGAUUGACUCUGUUCUCGUAGCUAGACAAGAGCCACAUAUUUGUAUUUUUUUUCCUAUAUAUACUUUGGGAGACACAUGAAUUAUAAAAUCAUCAUAAACUGUUUUUUUAAGUCCAUAGUACGUAUGUUUUUUUCAAUAAAAAAAUGUAACCUUGCGGUUCCCGAUGAGACCGGCCGGGGUACCCGGUCCUGUACGAACAAGUAACGGAAACAAACUCAUCAUCGAAGAUGUAUUAGGAGUAGGUUCUGAUUGUGUUCGUCAAACAAUGCAGAUCAAUCCUAAUUGGAUUCCUUUAAAGUCAAGCUGAUAUAUGUUUUUUUCUAGAGAACGAUAUUAUAUGUUAUUAUGACAAACAAUGAUCCCUCUUUCCUCACGUGAUGAAGAAAUUAACGUACAACGCGGCCGCCAUGGCAAGCACGAGUUGGGCUGCCAAUAUGCACGCGACGACGACGACGCCCAGCAGCAUGUUGACAAGAUUGUCAGAUAAGCUGAGCAGGUUCGCCUGCGGACUCUCGCCAUCGUCGGCGAUAAUGGCGCCGCCGCAGACGCACCACGACGUUGAGCUUGCAGAGGCUUGUAGGUUUUCCGACUAUGCUGGCUUCAGCUCUGCCCUCCUGAUGCUCUCUCCCAAUAGAGACAGCGAGAUUAAUGAAUCAUUACCAUCGUCAUCAAGCUCACGUAUCAUCGCCGCCGACGAUACAGCGUCGUCGGAGGACAAGGAGGCGACGACCCUCCCGUGCGUCGCGUUCCCGUCGCGAAACGGGUACAUGGUCUUCUCCCUCGCCGACGACCGCUUGCGCGACGGCGUCCGGCUGCGCCCCGUCACUGGGCGCCGGGUCGUGCCGUCCCCGUACGGCGGUGCGGUGCUCGCCACGGACCUGUCGUCUUUCAGGCACCCGUCCCGCCUCGUCGACCCGUUCACCGGCGACUGCACGCCGCUCCCGGACCUGCCCGUCCCACUCUGGUACAAGGAGCCAUCGUCGGUGUGCGAGCCCGAGGCGCCGCGCGUGCAAGGCCGCCGCCGCGCGGCGCCGCCCACCGACGACGGCUUCGCGUGGGACCGGUCCCCGCGCGGCGUCAUGAUCGCGCUAGGCGACACGGUGUUCUUCUGCGAGGGCGGCGGCGAGUGGACGACACUGUACCGGUCGACGACCUCGUCGGGAAUGACCGUGAACUACCGCGGCGGCUUCUUCUUCGUCCUCCAACAGCGCACUCUGGUCACCACGGUCAUCGACGCGAGGACCCUCGACAAGGUCGCGGAUAUCUGGCCGCCGCCUGGCGACGACGACGACGACGACGCCGUCGACUGCGUCCACCUGGUGGCCUCCACGGACGACGUCUUCUUGCUUGUCCACCGCGCAAGGGACAUGGAUUGCGAGCUGUUCUCCGAGGUGUACCGUGCCAGGCACAAGAAACCGACGCCGGAGUGGUCCAAGGUGACCGACAUCGGCGACCGCGCGCUGUUCGUUGACAGGCUACAUGGAUUCUCGGUGGGCGUAGGCGGUGAGGACACUGCCGGCAGGGUGAAGAGGAACUGCGUCUACACGAUUAGUGCUACACCGGUGGAAGACCCGCAAGGGCGCCGCAUUGUGGUGUACAACGUGGAAGAGUUUCGCCUGAAUAGGCCGGAAGUGGGAGAGACGCUGGAGUGUCGGCUCGGAAGCAGCCAAGUUGAGCAGAUGUGGGGAGAGCCGUAUUGGAUGAUCCCAAUGAGCAUAGAGGAUCCAUAGGAGUAGGAAGUUAGCAAUAGCGAAGGUAGGGCUGGAGGUGUGAAUGCACCAAUAUUUUUUAAGUGACAGUUUGACCUAAGAUUUAGUAUCCACAAUAUAUUUAGGCCUUGUUUAGAUCCAAAAAAUUUUAGAAUUUUGACACUGUAAUACUUUCAUUUUUAUUUGACAAACAUUGUUCAAUCAUGAAGUAACUAGGCUUAAAAGAUUCAUCUCACGAUUUAUAGGCAAACUCUGCAAUUAGUUUUUGUUUUCAUCUAUAUCUAAUGUUCCAUGCAUGUGUCGCAAGAUUCGAUGUGACGAGAAACCUUCAAACGUUUUUUGUUUUUGGGGUGAACUAAACAAGGCCUUAGAUCCUAUUUGGCACAACUCAACUUCACUAAUAAAAUUGUUCUUCUUUUAGAAAAUAGCUUUAUAAGCAACUUUCUAGGUGGAGCUGAGCUACUUUGCAAAAAAAAUAUUUGGUAAAAUAUCUUUACCAACUGCUUCAUGCAUAGAUAAAAGAGAAAUGAGGGAGAGAGCUAUAAUAAGCUAUCCUAACUCAUGUUUUGUGAGAGAAGAAAAAACAGCUUCACCCAUGAAGCUGUUUUAUAGAAAUAUAAAGUUGUUAUAAGCUGUACCAAAUAGACCUUUAAUAUAGUCUCUGAAUCUCAUUAUCUAGAUUCAAAUGAUUAGAAUAUACUUAGAGAUCUUUGUUUAGAUAGGAGUGUUUGGAAAUCAGCUAUUGACUUGCUUGAACCGUGACUAGGGGCUUAUGUUGGGUUUCAACUCUAGCCACUAAAAUGUCGUUUUGUCGUCGUUGUUGUUGUUGUUGUCGUCGUCGUCAUCUGAAUCUUAUUAUCUAAAAAAUCAUCUCUGAAUCUAGAGAUUUAGUAUGUUAUCCAAAUACUUAAUUUCGGAUAUUCAUAUCAUAUUCAUUCAUGUCUUAUUCGACACAACUGAUCAGGUGUCAGACUCCUGCCUGGUAUGCGGCAUGGACUUGUAAAGAGCUCCUAGGCAUCUGCCCGAGCCAGCUUGCCGAGUAUCAUUCGGUCGGGCAGUUCCCUUGGGCCACAAGGUCGAAGACUCUCUGAGCCCUUAGGCGAUGGAUGGUCAGACCUCUUAGGCUCUAUAGUUGGGAUCCAGUGGAGGCGUUUGAGUGCAUUCGCUGGGUGUAGCUCCGGAGCCAUUGGCCAAUUAAGAGAAUCAGUUUGAGAGUUAAUUACGUCAUCGUGGUACUAAUCUAAGGGUUUAGAUAACCCUAAUGUUAAAUAUUUAUCACCUAAAUAAGGCAUUUACCACCUCUUGUAACCAACUAACCAUAUAAACAUAUUGAGGAUAGUACCAACCCUAAAACUGCUACAUAGUUUCCAUAGUUCCCACCUCAAUAAGAAACUUCUCUUAGAAACCUUAUCAUCCAACAUAGUUUCCUUGUGUGGGCUUAUAAGGAAUUUUUUCCUCACCCAAUACAUACUUUUUCUUUCUCCUUUAUCCCUUCUCCCUCCUAUCUCUUUCUCUUAUAGUCUGGUUUUAUUCUCUAUGGUUGACAACAGGGAGGAGAAGUAGUGGUCACAACUCACAUCCCAUAAAUCAUCAGACUCCAGGUGAUGUCCUAUUUAGGGAGUUACGUCUACUUAUACAUUUUGGAGAUGAGUUUUUUUUAUCUUGCCAAAAUCCUUGGAUUAGGAUCGGAGAUGAGAGUUUCAUGACCCAGUUUUCAAUACAUCUAUAUUUUAGAAAUAGUGCAGAAGAGUUUCAUGGAGAUGGAACUCUCUUUACGUUUAUGAAACUUUUAUCAUCUCUUUCUUUAUUAAUAUAGUACCAUAUUAGCAUAUUUAAUGUGUAUGAAACUCUAAUAAAACUCUAUUGAAACUGGUCUUAGAGCAAGUUUAAUAAUACAGUCUAUUUGCUGGCUGCAAGGUUCCUUGUAGCUUUCUUUCAGCCCACUCAUACAAUAGUUAACUAUUCAUUAUUAAUACAUGGCCCACUUAUCUCUCACAAAGUUUCUUUUUUCCUGUGCCUAAGCUGGUUGUAAGCUUACAGCAUGCUUCUUCUCUCUCCUCCCUUCUCUCCUUAACUCAGCAUUUAUCCAGCUUAUAGCCCACUAUAAUACUUGCAGCAUAGACCCCCCAAUCCGGAGCUUUGUAAAUGAUUUGGUGAUUAAAGACACCUCAAUAAAUAGGGAGACAAGGUUCAAAAGAAAUAGUUAGCGCGCCAACCGACACUUAAUUAGGAGUACAUGACAGCUGACCCAAUCACAUCCGCCUUACAGUUGGGCUGAUCGAGCAACCAUGCAUGCUGUGGUGGACUGUGGUGACUGGUGAGCCAAUCGACCUUUCUCUGACAGAGUCAUUGCAACACUGGUGACGCUGACCAGCCAACUAACAGCCUAAUAACACGGUAACACCUCGUGGUCUUGUUUAUUUAGCUGAUAAGUCAUGAUAGAAAUUACUGUUAGUUAAUUUAUUGUAAGAAAAAAAUAUUAUUAAAUGUCUGAUAGAUUUGUCUGAUAAGCUCAAGCGAAUAAGACAGCCUCAUAAAAAAAAAUACAAUACACAUAAGCAAGCAAGAGAGAAAUCACAUCCUCCCAAAAAAAUAUACACAUAAGCAACCAAGAGAGAAAUCACAUCUUCCCAACGCGCGCGCACACUCUAUUGCAUCAUUAAAAUUGUCUUUGUAGCUUUUUGCAGAUGAUGUGCAUGUGCUAGGGACACCACCCUUUCUCUGUAACGCGAGACUGAGCAGUGGCCUCAACUUUUCGUCAGAUGAGGCCUAUGCAGCUUGUGAAGACUAUAUAUAUUCUAACACCUGCGAGAUCACCGUUUGAUUGUGACAUGGACGAUCAGUGCUGAGAUAUAGCGAGUGUGUGGGGGAAAGCCCUUACUAUAUAGCAGCAAAUUAGAGACAACAUGCACGAACAUGUUUCAUUCAGGUCCAACUGUGGAUACGCGCGCUGAGAUAACUAGAUGGCGGUGUUGUUUUGUAUGUACAACAAAAGCUAUCCCCUUUGCUUUAAUUAUUUGCACAUGUCUAUCUAGUUUCUUGGUACAAGCUAGUUCCUUGUUUGACUAGUAUUUUUUUUAGAUUACACGGUACAAUGUUGUACAUAUGCAUCCACGACACGUAUAUAUAUUCACUCCUAUGAAUACAUAUAUGCAAAGAACUAAGCUGGCAGAUCAUCUCGAGAUUCAUGAAGUCACCAGAGAUAUCUCGUAAUCAAUGGAGACGUUGUCUACCACUGAAAACAUAAUGUCAUUAAAUCCUUAAAUAAAUCCAGAAGAAUACGAGUAUCUGUGCCAAAUCGAGGACUUCCAAGUGAACAUGUUACACCACAAGAAACCCAAUCUAAAAGUUAGUUUGACAAGUUGACUCCAAUGAACUGAGCCUCCGAUUAUGGAAAAAAAACAUAUCUUGUAUCUCAAAUUUUGGUUAGACAUUAAAAGAUACAAAUACCAAAAAAAACUUUUAAUUAUUAGUUUGAAAACUAGUUGCAUGAGAAAAAUAUGUGUCCUGUAGUACUUUUAUCUUCAACGCUCUCACCGAUACUGAACAGAGAAAAUUAGUGUAGAUACAAAGUCAUGAAAAAUAACAUCUAUCACUGAAAAACAGGUAUUUUCCCCUCAUGUGCCACCUCCAGAAUUUUGUUUUGCUGUAUGCGGCUAGAGGUUGUAGCAUCGGUUUGAUUAGUUGCUUGUAUAUACCAGCCUAGUUUGCAUUAGACCUUAGAAAUGAAUGCAUAUGUAAUGUGGUGCUUAAUUUUGUCUUUUGUAUAUACAAAAAAGUUGCAAUUAGUAAGAUCAUGGUUGGUUGCUUCCAUUAUAGAUCGAUGUUGAAUGUGGUCGCCGCUAAGCUUUGUUGCAUUGUUCGUACAUGGUGGACCGGCCCAUUAGCUCGUAGGGCAUUGCCAUAUUGCCAAUUAUUUUCCUAUUGUAACUAGAAACAGUUUAUCUCCACUAAAAAUUGCUAUAUCUUUGGCUUAGCCAACGCCGCUAAUAAUCCUAACCAGCUCACAAUAUUCAUUUUUUACUCUAGACGGGUAUAACUAUAUGUAUUCUUUACAUAAUAAAUGAUAUAAUGAACUGUCUAAUAAUUGUUAAGUGGUUUGGUAUCAAAUGAUAAGUAAAUAUGAAUGUUAAUUAUUGUCAUGAGUAUGCCGAUUGAAAUAAAUAUUAGAACCCUAUACCUGUAUUUUAGUAUUUGUAUUUAUGAAUUUUUCUCAUGUUUUUUAAUGUAUAAAUUGCUAAAGAGAAUUGUUGACACCGUUUUUGGGCACGUGUCCAGGAUGACAGGAUAGGGUGGCAGUACAAUGCGGGUUGCUGAUGAGGAUGGUUGCCGAUGAGGGAGAGGUUGAAUGUGACUAAGUCCACAGGCAGUAAUAUGGUGCCGAUGGCUGGAUAAAAAGGUCUGCCGAUGACUAUGGCAAGGGGAUUGCCGAUGACGCGAAGGAGGAGUCCGGAAGCUGCCAGUUGUCAUCUGGAGGAGUUUCGGUUUGUUACGAAGGAUAGUUUUAUUAUUUCCUUAGUUAUUUGCAUCGUUUUGUAUACGGAUUCCGUGUAAUUUGGAAUUCGAAUUCUAAUCGUGUCUGGUCGUAGCUCUUUGAGCCGGGUAUAAAUAUAAACCCUAGGACCUUGUAAUCAAGAUAUCAAGAAAUCAAUCAAACACACGUUUUUACUCAUAUUCCAGCAUCUACUUUUCGACGACUUCGUCAUAUUUUUUUUUCUUUUAUUACGAGUUCUUAGGAAUUCGUCGACUUAAGCUCGGCGUGUUCUCGAGUUCCGCGUGAGUACCUCUUAGCCGUGACAUCCGGGCGCAUCGCUGUUGUCAGGACUAAAGUAUUCGAGUUAUCACCUUUGCCGAUAGCAAGGUCAAAUCGGCUGGCACGCCUUAACGUUUGAAUCGGGUAUUAGCCCUUUGUGUUUGCAGAUCAGUUUUGCAUCAACACAUCUUUUGGCACGCCCAGUGGGACCGAUUCAAGAUCAAGAUCAACAUGUCGAUCUCUGACCUCGAUCAAGACAACGUCAUCCCCGUGACGGAGGCCAACCUCAAGGAUGAGCUGAAGCAAGCUAUUGCCCAAGCCAUGGAAGAGUUCAAGCAGCAAUGCCUGAAGUCUUUCAGCAUAAACAGGAGCGGCGAAGUGGUCCAGAAAGAUGCACUGCCGGCACCACGGCAGGUCACCUUCGACGCCAAUCCUGGCAAGCUUCAAGAUAUGGUUGACAAUGCCAUCAAUCGAGCGUUGAUUAACCAAGCUGGUGUACUGUCUAAUACGGUUUUCAACGCCGUGGCAAGAACCUUCAAGGAAGGACAAAUCCCGCCGGAUUAUGUGGGCCCCUCCCAUCAUCAACCCACGGCACCAGAGGUCACGGCUCCAUCGGCUGCCUUGACGAGUGCAAGUGCACAGUCUGCCGUCCCUCCAAGUACAUUGGGGACUACUGGUGCACUAUCCAUGCCGAUGGCAACCAACCCACAAAUUUCAGUUGGGCAGCAUAAACUGACAACAGAUAUGUUGGCAUCGACAAUGUCAGGGUUAACGCUUCCUCCCAACUGGUGGGGUUAUGGUAUGCCUCCAGAGUUGACGCCGGGAACAUCACAAAUAACUGACAUGAGGGGCAAAACUCCUAUGACAUCGGCACCUUCCAAUGUGCCGGUGAACCAGAGUCCUCGGUAUACCACAACUACUACUGCAAGGCCUCACACUGGAAAUCCUCAAGAUUCAAUGUUCCAGAUGCCCAACGCAUCGGCAGAGUCAAUGCUGAUGCAACAGAGGCCUAUGGCCCAGUCGGGGUAUGUCAAUUCAACGACGGUACCCAAUUACCAAUCAUCGGCAGUACCUAUGCCGAUGAACGCUAAUAAUGGAUGGCUUGGACAGCAAGCCUUUCCACAAUCGCCCCAGCAAGGUUAUCAGACUACGGGGUUCCAGCAAGGGCAGGUUUAUCCCGGGUUCCAAGGUCAGGGAAUUCCCAACCAGCCAAUAAAUUUUGGACAGCAACCCGGAGGACAGCCAAUCGGUGGACAGCAGUUUGGUAGUCCGCAGAUUGGAGGACAGGUGACCAAUACGAUGUUCCAUACAGGUCACGUCCCGAACAGACAUGUGGAGGUUCGCCACCAAAUGCCAGAUCCGCAGCUGCCUCAUCGGCAAGAUGCCGAUGCGUAUUGGGCCGAUAAGAUUGCUGAAGUAAUGAGGGAACAAUUUGGGAUAAAACCCAAAGUCAACACUUAUUCUUAUCGGACACCGUAUCCUCCAGCGUAUGAUUUGAUCCCGCUUCCACAUCGGUACAAGGUACCGGAUUUUACAAAGUUUUCCGGACAGGACGACACGUCAACCAUGGAGCAUGUCAACAGGUUCAUUAUUCAAUGUGGAGAGGCUGGUAACAGGGACGAAUUGAGGGUUCGUCUAUUUUCAUCAUCAUUGUCUGGAUCGGCCUUUACUUGGUUCAUAUCAUUACCUCCCAACUCAGUAAUUACUUGGGCCGAUCUAGAGAAGCAAUUCCACAGAUACUUCUUCUCGGGGGUUCAUGAGAAGAAGAUCACCGACUUGGUCAAGUUGAGGCAACGUAACGAUGAGUCGGUGGAAGGAUUUGUGCAGAGGAUACGAGAGGUCAAGAAUAAAUGCUAUAGCCUGGUUCUGGAUGAUCGGCAGCUAGCCGAUUUGGCUUUCCAAGGUUUGUUACCACAUAUCAGGGAUAAGUAUGCCUCUCAGGAGUUCGAAAGUUUAAGUCAUUUGGUGCAGAGGAUAUCUGAUCAAGACAUCAAGCCUUUCGAGCCUAAGAGGGCAUGGAAUAAGAAAGUGUCAUUUGUUGACGAAGCAACAAGCUCAGAUUCCGAUGAGGAACCAGUAAUCGGUUUGGCAGAGUGGGUAAAAAACAAGAAGCCGAUGUCUUGUCCUUUUGGGCAGAAGGAACCAGAGAAGUUCGCCUUUGACACCGCCAAGGCCGAUAGGAUAUUUGACUUUCUACUUCAGGAAGGUCAAAUCAAACUGUCACCUAACCACGUGAUCCCGUCGGCAGAAGAGUUGAAGAGGAUGAGAUAUUGCAAGUGGCAUAAUGCAACUUCACAUGACACCAACGAGUGCAAAGUGUUCAGACAGCAGCUGCAAUCGGCUAUAGAGUCAGGGAGAAUCAAGUUUGACAGUUCCAAAGCCCAGAAGCCGAUGAAGAUAGACCAACAUCCUUUCCCGACAAACAUGUUGGAUGCUAAGGGGAAGGCUAAGGUCUUAACGUCGGAGACAGCUGAGAAGAGUGCAUCGGUAGAUCCUCAGCAUCAAGUUACUACCGCCGAUGCAAGAAGUAAGGGCUUGGUCCAGGAAGGAGCUAGCUCAGGAAGACUUCCUCGAUCUGGUAUCGUCAUAACUCAUAGAAGGCCUCGAGAGAGAUGGCAACAACGGGAAGAUCGGUAUCGGCGCCAGCAGGAAGAUUAUCAACGGGAAGAAGAAAGACGCCGACAGGAGUGGAAUCGGCACAGGGAUCAUUGGAAUUGCCCAUUCUUCAUCCAUUGUUGGGAGGAAAAUAUCAAGCUCCCUACUGUCAGAGACUGCCCUGAAUGCAACGGUUAUGAUCGGUACGAUAGGAACGAUCGGCGUUAUCAUGAUGAUGAACGGCGAUUUAAUGGGCCAAUCAGAGGAAGGGCGUCACUUCAUGAUCGGCUGGGGGGCAGGCUUAGCGUUCGCGAUCGGCUCGGUGACCGUGUCCAGUAUUUUCCCAGGAACCAGGAAGAGCUCGAGGAGAUGGCUAAUGCGCGGGUUCCCGAUGAGUUCAUAUUUUGCAGAGAUGCUAACACACAUCGUAUGGAGUCAAGGGAGAACCGACGCCCGAUGGCAAGACAAAGGACACUUCCUCCAUGGUGCCCUCAAGGAUUAACCAAGACACAGAAAAGGAGAUUGCAACGAGAAAGGCAAGAGGAGCUAAACAAGGGAGAGAACUCUGGAAGUCGGCAGCCGUCAGACACUAAGAGGGAAGGUCCAUCGGCAGGCGUCAACAUGGUCUUCAUGUUGCCGAUGGAGUUUCUUGCACCAGCCAGUGACGAUGACCUGAAAUUUUCUGAUCAGAUAGCUCAGUUGGCUCUGGAUCCGAUGACGGCUAUCUUUGAGAAACCUGCCGAUGACGAGAGGCAGCAUCUUAAAGCUUUGUUCCUCAAAGGAAGGGUUGAUGGGCAGCCAAUGACUAAGAUCCUAGUUGAUGGUGGAGCUGCUAUUAACAUUAUGCCGUAUGCAGUAUAUCGGAAGCUUGGGAAAGGGGAUCAAGAUUUGACCAAGACCGAUAUGAUGCUCAAAGACUUUGAAGGAAACGUGUCUCCAGUCAAGGGGGCGAUAUGCGCAGAGUUGACCAUCGGCAGCAAAACCUUGCCGACAACUUUUUUCGUGAUCAGCGGAAAAGGUGCCUACAAUUUAUUAUUGGGGAGAGAUUGGAUUCAUGCCAAUUGUUGUGUCCCAUCUACAAUGCACCAGUGCUUGGUUCAGUGGGUAGGUGACAAGAUUGAGAUCGUCCCAGGGGACUCUUCUUAUGUUAUCGCAUCGGCAGAAGCGGAUACUUAUGAAAAGACUAGGUGCAUUUCAGGAGAAGUUUGGGAGAAAGAUUUUCUCAAAGUUGCCGAUUAUGAGAUUCCACCGAUCCAAGCAGUCAGUUCUGACGACGGUUUUUAAUGGAUAGAUUCGCCGAUGAUGGAAAAUUAGGCCAGGGAUUCACAUCGGCCGAUGAUUAUGCCACUUUGAUGACCGAUGAGUUAGAUGAUUUAGCAGGGCAUCGGUUAAAGGCUUUAAUGAGUAUAGAAGAAAAUAAGAAGAGAGUUGCUAGAUGGUAUGAUAAAAAAGUAAAGGCUAAGGAGUUUGCCGAUGGGGAUUUGGUAUGGAAGUUGAUUUUGCCAGUCGGGACUAAAAGUUCGAAGUUUGGGAAGUGGUCUCCUAAUUGGGAAGGUCCUUAUCGGAUAAGACAUUCAGCUCCUGGUAAUGCCUAUAUUCUAGAAACUCUCGAAGGAGUUGAAUUUCCCAGAGCAUUAAAUGGCAAAUAUUUAAAGAAGUACUACCCCAGCAUAUGGGUCGACGCAUGAAAGUUUAAGUGCCGAUAACACUCCUAUCGGCUGGAUUUAAAUGUUCGGGGGCAGACUUAAUGUUUCAAAAGAUGCCGAUAACAGUCUUAUCGGCUAGACUAAAAGCUAAAAGCGGAAAAACAAAGGUGUGUUGCCGAUGAAAGCUUCAGAUGUUCAGCAGCGCUUGGAUUGCUGAUAUGGCGCGCAGCCGAAUCUGAUUGGCUGUCUCUAUCUCUUUGAUAUCAUCAUCGGCAGAACCUUCUAUCGGCUUCAGCUUCCUCUUCAGCUGCAGCGCUUUGCGACCAUGGACGUUUCGUUCUUGUUCAAGGUGCUUGAUGGUCUCCGGCAGUUGACUCUCUUCUUGCUGGGCUUGGGACAAAGCGUCCUCUACUUGCUUGAGUUCGGCCAGUAGAGCUUCUCUUUUUGCCGAUAGAUCAGACACUUUCUGCUUCAGUGCAUCACCUGAGGACUUUAAGGUGCCGAUGUUCUUAUGUUUCUCAUCGGCUAGGAGUUUUUCUUUCAUCAUCUCCUCAGAAAACUGGAUUUGAGCGGCUCUAUCGGCAAGGCGUUGAGUGGCUCUCUGGUACUGUAGCUGGCGGCUUUCUAGGUGUGCAGCAUGGAAGAGUGUUUCUUCAGCAUCGGCAGGAAGUUGGCUUCUAAGGGUCUUGAACAGGGCUUUGGCUGGGUCAGAAUCAUUGACCAGUUGAGUUGUGUCUUGAUGAAGUAUGGCCGAUAGCUCUUCCAGCUUAGCUCUGGUUUCUGCCGAUACAGUUCCAACUGCCCGGGAGGAGCUUGCUUCCUCGCCUUCUUCUUCGAAGAUAUCAAUGGCGAAGGAGAAUAAGCUGUUGGGAGAAUCUUGUUCCUGAAAAUGAAGAUGAAAUAAGUCAGUUUUAUGGUCAAAACUUCGGCAGACGAUACUGGUGGAAAAUUGGAUGACUUACUUGCUUCAAGGCGAUUUCUUGCCUUUGACUCAAAGAGGCCGAUGGAGCUACAGGUUGAUCGGCAAAUGUUGCCGAUGGAACGAUAUCGCCUGAAAGAAGACAGGAAGGAUUAUGAGACUAAAUGAGAAUAAGUUUAUCGGCGGAAGUAUUGUUGAGAUAUGUUACCCGGAGGAGAGAGAACAGCUGCCUGAGUCGGGGAAACCGCCGAUGAUAUAACUGGGCCUGCCAGGCCAGUUGUUUGUUCACCUACGUCAGCUGAUGUACCUGCCGUUUGAGGUUCUUCCUGCUGGGGUUCUUCCAUCUGUGAUGCUUCCUGUAUUGGUUGGGGAGAUGGUGCUUGCUGUGUCUGGACUUCUGGAGGAGAAGGGGAAGAUUCCACCGGGAUUGGGGACACCGGAGGAGGAGGAGUUGCCACUUUCUGGCGCUUUGUUCCAGCCUUAGCACCUUGGGUGCCCUUCCUCUUUGGCUGGCUAGACUGGGGGGCAUCGGCACCUUGGCGUUUGGCUUUUGCCGAUGCACCAGUUUGCUGCAACAACAAAAAGGAGUUUAUGAGCACAGAUAACCGAUACAAAGAUAGUCAGCAUAAAUGAAAAAGGUUUUAACAGAUUGCCUUGAAAGCUUGCGCCAGAGUAGAAGCAGUUACCGUUGGUGAUGUCUGAGUUUUCCUGGUGGUAACUUUCUUGAGACGCGCACCCCGGUGCACGAUGGAAGCCAGAGUGGGAGCAUUAUGGCCGAUUGAGGAGAUCGGGCCUGAUGGGAAUAAGUCGAUCGGCUUGCCACUCCUGCUAACCGAUGGGGGGGUGUUGACAAUCUGCAAAAGGAAUACAGGGGUAAGUUACCGAUGGGAAUAGUAUUGGAAAAUGAGACAUCGGUUUAAAAUACUUACAGUGUCAUCAGGGACUUCGUAUUCGGGGUCGAUCAUGCCGCGGUAUGAGAGGGCCGAUCUGCAGAAUAGAUUCUCUUUCCAUUCUGCCCACCAUAGCUUGUAUGCCUGAGUGAUAAAGGCAGCUGGAACCCAUUCUGACAGAUCUACAUCUGUAUCGGCAUUUGGUGGUAGCUGGGCUACUCGAGUCCACUCAAGGAGGUUGGCGAUGGGUUCUCUGGGCUUUAUUACAUCGGCAUAAGGAAGUGCAAUCGGCAAUUGGCCGAAAGCUAGCUGGCGAGCUAAUGCCGAUGGAUUAUAAAAUUCAUAGGUUUGGGGGGAGGUUUUCGUGCUACCGAAGAAAUUCACUGGUAUGGCUCUGGGAGUCACGAUUGCCAUCAUCACCUCAUUGUCCCUGUCAAGAGCUUCAUCAAAUGGAUUGAAGGUUAGAGGGAGCAUGUUGUCUGGGUCGUCAUAAGCCAGCCAUGGUCGUUCAUCUCUGGCCAGACCCUCAUACAGAGUCUCGAAGAAUCGGCCGAUCUGAUCAGGAUUGUUCCCUGAACCGGGUAAGACUAUAACGGCUUCACCAAAGUUCAAGGGGGCACGCGUUGCCGAUUCCUCUUCACCUAACACAUGAUUCUCGGCUAUAUCUCUUGGGAAGUGCUGUGAGAACAAGUUGAAAUCAAGGCGCUUAUGCAGGUGCAGAUUGAGCCACAUAUUAAUAAACCACCAGGGGCCUCCCAAGUUGCCGAUGGAUUGGCCAAGCAGGAGUUUCUGGGCUACCUGAUGAAGAAGGUGGUAAACAGCGCCGAGCAAAUAUCGGCCGAGAGGAAAUUGGCCGCCGCUAGCCAGUCUUUCUGCUGCCGAUAGAUAGACAGAAGUCGGUCCUGCCGAUCGACCACAGAAUACAAACUUGUCCAGCCACAUGUUCAGAAAGGUGGUUUGCUCCUUUGUGGUGACAGGCCCUCUCCCGCGGUACUUCUGGAUGUACCCUGACCAACCGCCGAUAGCGCGAGUCUCCACUUUGGCACUGGGGGCGGUAUCAAAAAAGUGGGUGCUAUCGGCAGAAGAUAUAUCUAGCCCAGUAAGCAUGGCUACAUCGGCAAGGGUAGGAGAAGCAGGGCCGUGGCCAAAAACAAAAGCAUUGAGAGUGUCUGACCAAAAGUAGGAUGCAGCUAUCAGCAAUGACUCGUUCCUGUGCAUAUCGGCAAUGGAUAGCCUAAUGCAUUGAGCUAGCUUCCUCUCACCCCAUUGAACUUCAUAAGAAUUGCUGACCCUCAAGAACCAAUCUUUCCACCCUACAGUAGGGCUGGGCCAAGAACGAAAGGUGUCUUUCCACAGAUCUAAAGAAAAGUUUUCAGCUCUAAAGGGAAUCCUAUUGGUUUCUGCAUUGAUAAGGUCGGUUGGAUCUGGAUCCCCUAGAGGGCCGAGGCACUGAAGGUGUGGUUGAUCGGUAGGGAUGACAAUUUUGUUGGACAACUCCUAGUGUUUUGGGGAAUAAAAAUACAAAGAAAAAGGAAAAGGAAAAUGUUCGGUAAGAUGAAUCGCAGAUGAACAGGAAUGCGAGAAAAAGGUACAACAGAUGAGAUGGAAGUCUGACCUCAGGGACGAUGAAGCCAAUGGCCAUCUUGUCGUGAAGAGGACGUUGGAGGGCACCGGAGUUGAUGAAGAAGAGUGCUUGUCGGAGGUCUUGAGGGUUGCAGAUGGCGCCGCCGCUGGAAAAGCAAAGUUGGAUAGUAGAAUGGUGUAAUGGGGGAGGAGUACCCAAGAAGGAACUAUUUAUAGGACAAGAUGGGCAAGGGCAAAUCCGUCUUAUCUCUUUGCCGCAUCCGAGAAGCCCGAGGGUACUCAGGUGGAUAUGGUAACUGUUCGCACGGUAAUCCAGGGAUUGUGCAGGUGAUUUGACAGGAAGCGGUCAUUAUCUAAAGAUAUUUUACUGUGCGCGAUCUCCUGGUCGGUCCAUCGGCGAUAUUCUAUAACGGUCAUCUUGCCGAUGGGCGGAUAGACGGGGGGUAACCGUUUUUUGCGAAUAUCCUGGUCAGAGCAUCGGCAGAUCUUUAUAACGGAAUUGUUGCCGAUGUACUACCAAGAAAGAUGCCCGUUUAGGAAGUUGGGAAUUUCGAGGAAUCUGCGGAGGAUUAGGAUCAGAGUUGUCCAGAUUGAGGUUGUCGGUUACCGGAUUAGGAGCAUUAAUUGCGGAGAAGGCAUCAUUACUGCAGAGAAUUUCGGAGCAUUAAUAGUUUUAUACUCCGAAACUGGGGGGCAUGUGUUGACACCGUUUUUGGGCACGUGUCCAGGAUGGCAGGAUAGGGUGGCAGUACAAUGCGGGUUGCUGAUGAGGAUGGUUGCCGAUGAGGGAGAGGUUGAAUGUGACUAAGUCCACAGGCAGUAAUAUGGUGCCGAUGGCUGGAUAAAAAGGUCUGCCGAUGACUAUGGCAAGGGGAUUGCCGAUGACGCGAAGGAGGAGUCCGGAAGCUGCCAGUUGUCAUCUGGAGGAGUUUCGGUUUGUUACGAAGGAUAGUUUUAUUAUUUCCUUAGUUAUUUGCAUCGUUUUGUAUACGGAUUCCGUGUAAUUUGGAAUUCGAAUUCUAAUCGUGUCUGGUCGUAGCUCUUUGAGCCGGGUAUAAAUAUAAACCCUAGGACCUUGUAAUCAAGAUAUCAAGAAAUCAAUCAAACACACGUUUUUACUCAUAUUCCAGCAUCUACUUUUCGACGACUUCGUCAUAUUUUUUUUUCUUUUAUUACGAGUUCUUAGGAAUUCGUCGACUUAAGCUCGGCGUGUUCUCGAGUUCCGCGUGAGUACCUCUUAGCCGUGACAUCCGGGCGCAUCGCUGUUGUCAGGACUAAAGUAUUCGAGUUAUCACCUUUGCCGAUAGCAAGGUCAAAUCGGCUGGCACGCCUUAACGUUUGAAUCGGGUAUUAGCCCUUUGUGUUUGCAGAUCAGUUUUGCAUCAACAAGAAUACCUUACAUUAUAUUUCGUUAUCAUAGUUUUAUAUAGUUUCAGUUCCAGAAGAAUGCCACCGCUAAAUACUUUAGCUUGCUAUUUAUUUAAAACCAUGUAUGAAUUAUCUGCAACAGUACAUUUAUAUAUGAUGCUGUACCAAUUAUUAUAGUUUUUCCUUGAAACUGAACUAGCCAACGUACGUCGCUAUCUGAGGACCAGUGCAACAGAUUACUAACCAUACAUUGAAAUGGAAAACCUCCGGGUGACAAUAAAUGGUUUAUUUUUAUAUAACAUAAUAUAAAACGCAUAUUUUUUGCACGAGGGAAAAAACAUGAAACGGAGAGGUAUGACACGUCCCGUGCAUCGUCAACCAGAACCAAGAACGAAUUAAAGAAAUCAUUGCUCUCCUUUGACGUCGCUGAUUUAAAAUCAGCUGCGUAUUAUUAGCCACCUGAGUCCGAGUCCGACCUAUACCCGUCCGCCGUCCCCAACCGCCCCCAUUGAAUCUCUACGGAGAGCGGGGCCCUCAGUGUUUUUUUAAAAAAAAAUUGGUUUUUGAGACUGUAGUAUUUUUGUUUUUAUUUAAUAAAUAUUAUAUAAUUAUGGAGUAAUUAGAUUUAAAAGAUCAAUUUCGCGAUUUACAAGUAAACUGUGUAAUUAGUUUUUAUUUUUAUUUAUAUUUAGUGCUCCAUGUAUAUGUCGUAAAAUUCGAUUGAAUAGGGAAUUAAAAAAAAUUGUUUUUGGAUGAACUAAACAAGGCCUCAGUAUAUAUAUGCCUGCUGUCAGUCACGCUACGGCCGUGACCGAUCGUGUCCGAGUUCCUCCUCCUCCAGUCUCUAGUCUCUUCUUAAGCCAGUCUCAAUGGCCCGUUUCACUACACUAUUUCCAAAACAAAUCUGCUGACAGAGCAUCAAUGAAACGAACAAUGAAACAACCUCCACAAUGCAUGAGUUUCACCUUGAUGUUUUCUAGGCUGGGCAACGCAUUUAAUUACUGCAAAAUGAUUGGAUCACAUGUAAGAUGGUGAAACGAUUUAGUCUUCAGUGGAGAUUUCAUCCUGUUUCACCGCGUGGGAAACAACGCCCGCGGAGUUUCACCAUAGUGAAACUAUUUGCUUCUCUCUCCUCUUCGUUUCAUGUGCAUGACAAACCCCAUGAGACUGGCCUUAUAUAACUCGCGCGCCUUGCUUUGCUUGGGCCCAAUCAUUGUUCGAUCGAUCUCCUCCCAGAUCUCUCUCUCUCUCUCGUCAGAUCCUCAAGGCUAUAUAUGGCGACUGAGUCGUCGGCGGCCAUGGCCAUGGAGGAGCCGGGCGUCGUCGUCAACGGCAGCAGCGUGGUGAGCUGGGUGGCGUCCGGGGUGGUGCUGUGGUCGACCGCCUUCUUGCUGGUGCGGGCGCUGUUCCCCAAGCGCUCCUACGACUUCUGCAACCGCGCCGUCUCCACCAUGCACGCCGUCGCCGCCGUCUGCCUCUCCGUCGCCGACUGGUCCUGCCCCGUCUGCCCGCUCGCCGCCGCGUCCUCCCCGCGCCAGGUAUACCUUUAAUUUUCAGUUCAUCAAUUCAUCAUACAAAUAAAUACUGUAAUAAAUAAGCCGAUGACGACCGUGGCGUCACUGGACGGCAGAUGAAGGCGCUGGCGGUCACGCUUGCGUACAUGGUCUACGACGCGGCGUGCUGCCACCUCAACGGCGACGUGCGGCUGGACAACACCGUGCACCACCUCGUCAGCAUCGUCGGCAUCGGCGCCGGCCUCGCCUACCAGAGGGUAAUGCAUGCAAUGCAUUUCGUCGUCGGUAGUCGGUAGGCUGCCGGCGCGCGGCCGCCGGCCGUUAGUUUGGCGAUCUGCAGUUGAGCUAACUAACUAACGAGCUGCACCUGCAUGCAUGCCGUGCAGUGCGGGACGGAGAUGGUGGCGUGCCUGUUCAUCACGGAGAUCUCGAGCCCGCUGCUGCACCUCCGGGAGAUGCUCAAGGAGUUCGGCGUCAGGGACACCGACCUCAACCUCCUCAUCGACGUGCUCUUCGCCGUCACCUUCUCCGUCGCCCGGAUGGGCGUCGGGCCCUACCUUACCUACGUCACCCUGACCGCCGACUACCCCAUCCUCAUCAAGGUACGUAAGUACACAUGCGCUCACCGAAUCCGUUCGCCAGCCAAACCUUAUCGCACCAACCUACUAGUACUUUUCAAAAAAAAAAGCUCUGACGACAUGGCAGUAUGGCACUCCUCGCAUCUCUGACGACAUGCUCUGUUGCUUCCGCUUUGGCAGGCGAUGGCGACGGGGCUGCAGCUGGUGAGCGCCUACUGGUUCCUGCGGAUCCUCAGGAUGGUCAGGUACAAGCUCGGCAAGAAGAAGCCGCAGCCAACACCGCCGGGCCCGGGCAAGCUCGCCGCCGCCGCCAACUGAUGUAAAUUCUGUUCAAAGCCCAAUCUGACAACAGAAAGGAGUUGAUGAAUUGGAUUGAGACCGUGCUGUAAAGUGACCCGGGUCGGUCUGCGCUGUUCUCGCAUCUGAAGCAAUUUCCGUUGGCAAGGAUGUCAGCGAAGGGGGCGGUGGUGCAUGUACUCUAGCAACUGUAUUUAGCGUACAAAUUGUUCAAUGAAUUAUGCUGAAUCUGGCAGCUGCAGUUAAGCCUGCUCUAAUGGAUCGGGUAAUAAUUGGAGUUUUUGAGUUGUGGUGUCCUAUGAAAUUGUUUGGAUGGGUGGUAAUGGAUUCAGAGGUCAAAACAGGUUGAGAUGAGUUGGAUUUGCUAGGAAAUCGGGUUGGAAUGGUUUGAUUUUUUUUCCCCAGGUUCAUGUGGUUCAACCCGUGGGUGGGUUCACUCUUUCCAUCUCUAACACUGCGAACUCGCCCAGUCACACGACGGCCGUCAUCGACAACACCGUACCCAGAGGCGAAGCUGAAAUAGAAUUUAUGCGGUAAUGAUACUUAUAAUACGUCCGUCCGUCCGGUCGUUGUUGUCCACUCAUUUUUGUUGCUCUCCCACGCCUUCUUAUCCACUCAUUUUUUUUCAUCCCCACUCUUCUCUCACAUCUCGCUGCCACUUCCACCACUCGCACCAUGCGGCCGCACAUUCUACCAUGCGCGAGCCGCUCCCCCCUCUUUUUUCUCCUCCCUCUCCGCUGCGACCCACACGCCCUCCAUGCCGCCGGAGUAGAGCACGACGGUGACAGCUUUCAGUGAGCGGCGCAACUCCCUUCCUCCCUGCUCUUUUCUCUCUCGCUCUCGUGACCUCCAUGCAUCUGGAGAUGGAGACAACGACGCAGCUCCGACGAGGUAGGUGGGGAGGGAUUUGGAUCCGAAGCCUUUCUCUCCCUUUUCUCUCUCUCCUCUUAUGGAUCCGGAUCUGAGCCCUCCUCUGCUCCUCCUCCACCUCUUGCUCCUCCUGCUUUUCCUCUGGAUCUAGAUCUAUGGGAUAUUGUGUUGGCUAGGGUUUCGGUGAGCUCUUGGGAUUCAGUGCUCGUACGUGUUGUAAUGGUGUUCUCUGGUUUUUUGCAGUAUAUUUUUCAGGUGAUGUUGCAGUAGGAUAGGGUUCCGGCGAGCUCUCGGGUUCAGAUCUCGUCAUUGUUGCAAUGGUUCUAUCUAGACGUUGCAUUAGGUUUUAGUCGUUGUUGCAGUUUUGUGUUUUGAGAUGUUGUUUCAGUUGCUUCAGUCUGCAUAUUGUAGUAGUUUGUUUUAUGUUGUUACAACAUUUGUUCGGUGUUGUUGUAGUACUAUGUCCAUGGUGUUUUAGUUGCUCCAUCCAAUGCUUUAAUCUGCACUGUUGUAUUAGUUGUUGCAUGUUGUUGCAACAGUUGGUCGAUGUUGUUGUAAUACUAUGUCUAUGGUGUUUCGGUUGCUCCAUCCAAUGCUUCAACCUAUGUUGUUGUAUUAGUUGUUACAUGUUGUUGCAACAACCGUUCUUUGUUGUUGUAAUACUAUAUUUAUGGUGUUUCAGCUAUUCAAUCCAAUACUUCAAUCUGUAUGUUGUAGCAGUUGUUUGCAUGCUGUUGCAGCAGUUGUUCUUGUUUGUUGUAAUAUGAUGUUUAUGAUGUUUCAGCUACUUCAACUUGUUUGUUGUAGCAGUAUGUUAGGUGUUGUUGCACUAUUAUACAUAUUGUGUUGCAGCGUCAAGUGUGGGAAUAGGUUGUAGGGACGAGUUAGCGGCAGGCAGAUCUGCUAGGGGCUGACAAAGCGAGGGGUAGGGCGGAUCCCAUGCUCAUAGGGGCGGAGGAUGGGCUCCUUGCGCGGGAAACGGACGAAGUGCGGUCCUCUGCGUGGGGCGAGCGGGGUAGGGGUAAGUUGGUUGGGAGGGAGCGGAUAAGAAAUAGUCUUCCAGGCGGAGCGAGUGGGGCAGAGGUGAGUUGGUUAGAGACGGAUGGGGUUUUCUUUUUUUUUCUGUGACGCGGGUGGGGGGCUCGGCGUCCGGACGCGUUGUUGGCGCCGGACGUCCGGGCGCUAGCAGUUCCGCAUUUAUAGUGGUGCACACAAGCAUAGCCUUGUAGUAACAUCACCAUUUGAGAGCUUAUUAACAUGGUAAAAAAAGGUUACUUAAUGCUACACUAUUUUUCUACCAUGGUGCCCAUGCACCACUAUAGAUGAACGUACCGUUAUUGUCCUCUCCCAGCUCCAGUCCAGGUACGGCCACUCUCCUUCCCCGCUCUUCCCUUGCCUCCAUCCGACACCUACGGGAGGUGCAGCAUGGCAGGCCCAAGCUCCGGCUGUUAGAUAUGACACCUUCUCGCCUGAUGGACCAUCGCUCGUCUCAUCUCAAAAAAAAGUGUCGUUUUAGAAUUUGAGAUAUCGUUUUGGAUCAUUCGUCUUAUUAAAAUUUUUUACAUAAAUAUUAUAUAUUUUGUUAAGACUUAUUUAUUAUUAGAGAUACUUUACUAAUGAUUUAUUUAUUUUAUAAUUUGUAAAAAAAAUUUGAAUAAAACGAAUGGUCAACUAAAAGUUUAAAAUAUCACCUUUUUAGAGACGGAGGGAGUAGUUGUUUAAAAGUUCCACUGACCGUGUGCUACUUGGACUUGGACAGUUUGACGACAAUGAAUGGCUCCGUUGGUUCAUAUGAUUGGGUCAAUGACAACUUCAUUGGUUCUUAGUGAUAAUCCAAGCCAAAUGACACAUGAACCCUUAGCCCUCCUUGUUUGUGUUAAGGAUUGGUUGUACAAGUCCCACAGAAUGAAGAUGGCUCUCUAUUUGGUUACUUGCAUUUGUCCAAUCAAUACCAACAGAUCAGCUACCUGCAUGCAGAUAGUUGCUCACUAGCAUGUGGUUGUGGAUUACUUUUAAAUUCUAAUGUGGCUGGUUGGUUGUCGGCUGCGGCGACCGCUAUUGGCCCGAGGACUUAGGAAGGUUGUGGUCACCAGCGUUCAUGGAGGGGCGCAGGAAGGAAGAGAGAGAGGGAGGAGAGGAAAAGGAUAAUUUUCACAACAUUUUCUUGGGAGGGGCAAAAUGGUCAUUUUCGCAGCAAACUUAACAGAUGUUGACAGAAAUGGUAGUAAGGGAAAUGUGAAUUUAUCCGAUGGCAGUGACAGAAGUUUGAAAAAUUCGAUGGCAAUGAGGGGAAAAAAUAGGUAAAAUCUUCAAUGGCAUCGACGGAAUUGACUCUAUUAACUAUGAUGCUACUUAUGCUAUAUUUUAUUCACUCAUGGUCCAGUUAUUUGAUUCCUCCACAACUUGCUUAUACGUUUGUUGCAUUCCUCAUUGUUCCUAACGUUGCUUCAUUCCACAUUGUUCGUGUAGUGCACUUGUGGCUUGGGAGAACAAAAGAGAGGUCACAUUAGGUAGACUCGAUCCAUAUUUACUUAGCUAAUUCAUUGGAUUAUAGUGUUAUACUUAGCUAAUUUAUUGGAUUUAUACUUAGAAAAUGCAUUUCUUAUCCAUAUUUUUUGGUGUCCUCAUAUUAUGACUUUAGUAAUCUGAAUAAGUUGAGAACAACUAUGACCAGAUCUCAAUUUAACCCGUUGGUGAGCUGCUUUUGCUGUCUAUAUUGUCUUCACUACUGUUCUUGAUUAUUCAAGGUCUGAUGUGUUUAGUUGCCAAUAAGAAAAUGCGUGCAUCUCCUAAUGCUUUCAAAGGAUUUUUUUUAUUUUUAUUUGGCUCCUGAUCAGAAAACUUUGCGUAACUAGGAAUGAUUCUGCAUUUUGGAAUAUAUAUGAACAUCUUCUAUGGAGCUGGAAGUUUACUGAAUAAUUAAAGUUGUGUAUUCAGAUGGCGUUGAAUCUGAAGUAAAGGAUGUGGGCAAGAAGGGUGUCGCCCAUGACAUGUUUGUUUUGUAUAUGUGGUGUUUGAUCUUUUAUACAUACAAGUUACAUUUAGUAAGACUAUGUUUGGUUGCUUUUAAUUAUAUAUGUUAAAUGUGGUCACCAUUAUGUUUUGUUGUUUCUAUAUACAGCGGACCAAUUAGCUCGUACGACAUGGGCACUAUGAUAUUGCCUACUCCCUCCAUCUUGUAAUAUAGUUCAUUCUAAUAUUCAAAAUUUGUCUUCAAAUAUAAUGCAUUCCGGAGAACAAAACUUAUUUUUACAUUAAAUACUUUCUAUUUAUCAAUCAAUCAUCAUUAAUCACAUAGAUGAUACCGUCUGAUUAGGAAAUAAAAUAGAGGUACAUGUAUAUUUAAUGUUCUCUCUUAAUUUGUCUUAAAAUUUCUACAAUGCACUAUAGUACAAUGGAAGUAAAUGUAUAUAACCUAACCUCCCCAUUUGUUCUUUACAUAAUAAUUAAAUGAUAUAAUUGACCAUUUCAUAAUUGUUAAGUAGUUUGUUAUGGAAUGAUAAAUAUGAAUGUUGAUUAUUGGCACGAGUAUGUUGAUUAAAAUAAUAGACAUAUAAAUAUGUUAUCUUAGAACCUUGUGCAUGUAUUUUAAUAUUUAUGUUUACUAGCAGAAAUGCUUGUGCAUUGCAACGGGAGUAAGAGACACAUAGUUUAUUGUAUGGUCAUUUAUACACUCAUGGGUUGCAACGAAAGAGAAUAGAAACCCAAAAACUCUACAGUUGUUAUGAAAAAGUAAGGGUUCAACACCCAAUAUUGGUCAGUCAAGGAAAAGCUCAGAAGUUAAGAUUCUUUUUUUUCCUAUUAAGUAGGUUGUAUCAUCGUCAACAUAUACUCAGAUUUAGUAUUCUAAUAGUAUAUAACUUUUCUUUUUUUCAUAAAUGUAAUUUUUUGCUCAUUACAUAUUAAUUACAUUUAACUAUUCUUUACUUAAUAGAUUGUUCCUUGCUACGUACUAUUACUCAAUCAGGUGGAUAAUAGUUACUGAUUUUGUUUCUACAAUGUGCGUAACUAUAUUAUGCUCUAUUGCUCCUCUUUGUUCCACCCUUCCAUCUUGGCCCACCUUGGCCCAACCCAACCUUAGAGCUCAUCUCAUGAAUACAACAUAUUAGUAGUCGUAGGCUUGUAGCUCUAUGAGCUUCGCCCGAGGAAUUUAGGGGCCGUUUGGUUGUCGGUAUGUCUCAAUCUGUAUCGUACCGGCCGAGACAUGUCCUCCAUGGCAGCCUACUGUCAUGCAAUUGCUCACUAUUUGGUCGUCUGGGUGAGUGUAGCAUGGCCAAGUAGAGAAGCUGAUUGGUUUGCAUGGACACAGGAGUUGGCCUUGCAUCACUGCGUGACUGCUCUGUACUCUCUCAUUUCAUAUAGUUUGCACGCCCCAGUAUGCAUUGUGUUAAUCUGGCCUCAUAGAAACACUCGAUUCCUACGUACGCUGGAUUCCUAAGUUUCUCUAGAACCUAGUUGCAAGGAGAAUUUUACAUAAAGAAAACCGUAGUCUAACAGAUACACCGAUCAAACAGACGGGAGAGCUUGGCCGAGGAUAGAUGCAUGCAACCAAACACCCCAGUUACCAGUGCUAUCGCUUGUUGCCUGCAUGCGGCAACCAGGGGCGACACGCCUGGGCGUGCUGCGUGCAAGCUGCAGGUGGCGGCCGCCGGCCGUGGGCAACAAGGCCGAGCCGGUCGCGUGCGGCCAGGGGCGACAUGGCUAGGCAAGCGAGCUAGCUUCGGGCGGCAUGGCCGGGUGAGUGAGCUACGAGAGCGGUGGCCAAGUCGGCGCGGCCAGCCGUGCGAGCUGCUGGUGGCGCGAUCGCACUUGCUCCAAGGGGCGGAGCGGGAGCACACGUAGACAAACAGGUGCCAGACACAAAUUUCAGUAGAAACCGAAAUUAAAUCGUCGAUUUUCCUCACGAUAUGGCAGCGAGCAGAGCCUGGCCAACCGUCGUCUCAUUGUGAGGCCGAGCUGUGUCGCCUAGGAGAAAUUUUCUCUUUCGAGUCUUCUUGAUGGUUGAUCAAAACAUUUUCUCUCUCGAUUGAUUUCUCCCUCUUCUUUUGAGAUACUGCAGAUUUAAUCCUCUAUACAUGUUUUUAAUUUCUCGUGUUGCCUCUUAUUUAUGCCAGCAUGGCUCUUCAUCGGAUAGCUUGCUAUUGUCUUAUUAUCUUCGUAGAUAAUAGUAGCGGUAGGCGCAAUAGUGAUUCCACAUACAUUCUGUACAUGUUGAUGAACACGUCUAAGUGCUGCUUCAUAUAAUGCAAUAAUUUCAGAGUGGUUAGUGGAUGUUGCUACCAGACCUGCUUAGAUGACUUACAAGAGAUAGUUGUUCCACCACUCAGAAAGUCAGAAACACAUACCCAGUCUGUAAUAAUCUGUUAUGGGGAUCAGAUAAAUACCGUACAUCCGUAUACCCAAUUAUGCUAAGAUCUUGUUUUUUCCGAAAAUACAAUCCAAGAUCAAUAGUACCUAAGAAUUCUUUAUACACCACUCAAAUGCCUUUUGGUUGGGGCCGAACUGAACCUUGCUAAUAGGUUAACAACAAAUGCAAUUAUGGACUCUGCUUCGUGCGAUGACUAUAAACGUCCCCACCUGUAAAUGAGAAGGACUUGACAGGAAAAUGGAAAAACGUAAAUGGAACUGAUUCGACGAAAGAUUUCGUGGCAAGAAAUUUUACCUUUUUAUAUUAUUAGGAAUAGAUAAAAUUCACUUAGUUUCAUGUUUUGUGCAUAAUUAAUUAGCAACUUUUAUGUUUUAUUUAUGUAAAAUAAAAUUGCUAAAUAACACAUUUUACAUUAUAUUUCUUUAUUAUAGCUUUUCAUAGCUCCAGAACAAGACAACCGCUAAAUAUAAUAGUUUAGCCCACUGUUGUAUUUAAAAUUUAAACUAGGUACAUAUGAAUUAUUUGCAACAGUGCAUUUAUGUUGCUAUUCCAAUUAUUAUUGUUUUUCUUGAAACUAAACUAGCCACACGUCGCUAUCUGGGCCAGUGUUACAGAUUACUAGCCAUAUAUUAAAAAGAAAAAAAACUCCCGCUCGCAAUAAAUGGUUUUUAUAUAAAUAUAAAAAGGCAUAUGUUUUGCACGACUGCACGAGGGAAGAACAAGUGAGAGGUAAUGACACGUCCAGUGCACCAACGAGAACCAAAACGAAAUAAGAAUUAAUUGUUGCUUUCCUCUGAUGUCUUAAAUCACCUGCAGCUGCGUUGCGUAUUUGCCGCUGAGGCCUUGUUUACUUCUGGUAAAAAGUUCUUGGUAUUAUAGUAUUUUUAUUUUUAUUUAGUAAUUUUUAUCUAACUAUAAAUUAAAUAGGUUCAAAAAGUUUAUCUAUAAAUUAUAAAUAAACUGUAUAAAUAGUUAUUUUUUUAUUAAUAUUUAAUAUUGUAAAAUUUGAUAUAUAAUAGAAAAUCUUGAAAAAAAAAUAGAUUUAAAGAAUGCCUCGGUCCGUCCUAUACCAUCCCGUACGUCCCCAACCGCCCCCAUUGAUGAAUCCACCGGUGAAUCUAUCACUCCGCCACAGUCAGUGCCCCUAUAUAGCUCCACCGCUGCAUCCAUGUGUUCGAGUCUGUAUACCUGUCAGCAGUCACGCUACCACCGUGAUCGAUCGUGUCACACAGUUCCUCCCAGAUCCCUCUCUCGGUUAGGAGUAGGAGCUAGUAGGCGGGCAGCAGGCUAUGGAGUCUGAGUCGUCGGCGGCCAUGGCGAUGGAGGAGCCGGGCGCCGUCGUCAACGGCAGCACCGUGGUGAGCUGGGUGGCGUCCGGGGUGGUGCUGUGGUCGACCGCCUUCUUGCUGGUGCGGGCACUGUUCCCCAAGCGCUCCUACGACUUCUGCAACCGCGCCGUCUCCACCAUGCACGCCGUCGCCGCCGUCUGCCUCGCCUGCCUCUCCGUCGCCGACUGGUCCUGCCCCGUCUGCCCGCUCGCCGCCGCAUCCUCCCCGCGCCAGGUAUACCUUUUUUUUCAGUUCUUUUCCGUACAUAAUAUAUACGGUGUGCGAACGUACGUCGGUACGUGUACGCCCAUACCGCCGGAGUGCCGGACGUACGCCCUGGCCUCCGCCUUCCUCCUGAACGAACACGGCGGCUGGCUGGCUGGCUGGCGGCCACAACCACCGCCGGCGAUCUUUUUAACCCCUCAUGAUAAUUAAGGCGAUGACAGUGGCGUCUCACAAUAGUAAAUACUGACUGGCAGAUGAAGGCGCUGGCGGUUACGCUCUCGUACAUGGUGUACGACGCGGCGUGCUGCCACUUCAACGGCGACACGCGGCUGGACAACAUCGUGCACCACCUCGUCAGCAUCGUCGGCAUCGGCGCCGGCCUCGCCUACCAGAGGGUGAGUGGCGACAUGCAAGUCACACAUGCAUUUCGUCGUCGUCGGUAGGCCGCCGGCCGGCGGCGGUUUGUUGAGCUAACAGUAACUAACAACUAACGAGGCUGUGUGGCCGUGCAGUGCGGGACGGAGGAGGUGGCGUGCCUGUUCGUCACGGAGAUCUCGAGCCCGCUGCUGCACCUCCGGGAGAUGCUCAAGGAGUUCGGCGUCCGGGACACCGACCUCAACCUCCUCGUCGACGUGCUCUUCGCCGUCACCUUCUCCGUCGCCCGGAUGGGCGCCGGGCCCUACAUCACCUACGUCACUGUGACGGCCGACAACCCCGUCCUCAUCAAGGCCAUGGCGUCGGGGCUGCAGCUGGUGAGCGCCUACUGGUUCCUGCGGAUCCUCAGGAUGGUCAGGUACAAGCUCGGCAAGAAGAAGCAGCCGCUGCCACCACCGCCGGCCAAGCUCGCCGCCGCCGCCAACUGAUGUCAAGUGACCGCGCCGGCGGCGACCUUCACGAGCUACGUAUAUUGUUAUUGUAUUCAAAAAGGCCCAAGCUGACAACGGAAGGGAGUUGAACUCGAUCGAGACCGCGUUGUUCUUGCCUCUGAUGAAGAAAUUUCCAUUGGCAAGGAUGUCAGCAAAGGGGCGUGCAUGUACUCUAGCAACUGUUAUUAGCGUACCAAUUGUGCAAUGAAUUCUGCUGAAUCUAGCAGCUGCACCGCAAACAAAGUACUGUACAGCAGUAAAUCGAUUGAUGUGUUGCACUGUAACCACGUCAAACCUCAUCAACAGCAUCGCCGCAUCGCGCGAGCGCGCACCAACGAACGGUGAAGUCGUACAGGUACAGCAGUAAAAAUAUUUAAAGCGUCGGUCCUAUCCCUAGUAGUAAACGAAGAGAAAUGAAUGUAAAGUGGACCUUGUUUAGUUCUAAAAAAUUUUGCAAAACAGGCUGUUGGCAAAUAUUUUUCAAUCAUGCACUAACUAGACUCAAAAGAUUUGUCUCGUCAAUUUCGACCAAACUGUGCAAUUAGUUUUUAUUUUCGUCUAUAUUUGAUACUCCAUAUAUGCGUCUAAAGAUUUGAUGUGAUGAGAAAUGUGAAAAAUUUUGCAAAAUUUUCAGAAGCAAACAAAGCCUAGAACAACUGAUGGAACAGACUGUGUAAUCUACAGUGUACCUCCAGCCUGAACCACGUAGCCGGGUAAAUUCUAGUUUAACAUGUUACCGCAAGCUCAAGACCUAGAGCGUUCCUGUGAUUUCUGCAGAACUUCCUUCAACACCGCCGCGA
rnacentral:lncRNA from 1 species